rnacentral:lncRNA from 1 species
GAUUGGACUCAGGGAUGUGCGCCCAGAUUCGAGAGCUUCUGCAACAAGGGUGCUCAUGCUCAUGUUGAUUUCCUGCGUUUGCCUCACCAUGAUUUCUAUGGAUAUGACCGGGCCUAUUUUCGAAACACCACCCUGGCGUGGUGCAAGAAAAAAUGCGCAGAUCUUUGCGAUUGUAAAGGCUUUCAAUACAAAUUCAACGGGAACAGAGGGAGCUUCGACUGUUACCCCAAGAUACGGCUGCUAAAUGGAUAUUUUUCAUUCUCGUUUAAUGGAAGCAUCUAUUUAAAACUACCGAAAGCCAAUCUCUCUUCCUAUCAAAGACCCACCAAAGGAUCCAACUCACUGUCCUGUCCCCCAAAAGUUCAAGAAGUUUUCCUGCAGAGGACUUAUCUGAAAAGCCACAUGAAUUCAACACUCAACAUCUUGUUCACUGUUGCUAUGGUGCUAGCUGGAGUGGAAAUUGUUGUAGUCUUCCUCACAUGGUCCUUCUUGAUCGGGACUGAUCUUGACAAACUCGGAGGUUAUGCGAAGGGAUAUCAUCUUGCGGGAACAGGAUUCACAAGGUUCACGUAUGCCGAGCUAAAGAAAGCGACCAAGAACUUUAGCAAAGAGAUUGGAAGAGGAAGUGGGGGGAUUGUGUACAAGGGUGUCUUGCCAGAUCAUGGGGAAGCAGCGGUGAAGCUGCUAAACAAGGCCAAUCAAGGAGAAGACGAGUUCCUGGCCGAAGUGAGAACAAUUGGGAAUCUCAAUCACAUAAACCUGAUUACGAUGUGGGGCUACUGCGUGGAGGGAAGGCACAGGCUCUUGGUUUAUGAGUUCAUGAAUCACGGCUCCUUAGCAGAAAACCUUUCUUCCGAUCAACUUGACUGGAAGAAAAGGUAUGACAUUGCGGUGGGAUCAGCCAAGGGGCUUGCUUAUCUUCACGAGGAGUGCUUGGAAUGGGUUCUCCAUUGCGAUGUGAAGCCACAUAACAUACUCCUCAAUUUUGACUACCAACCAAAGGUGGCCGAUUUUGGGUUCUCUAAGCUACUUAACAGGGACAGCUUUAAGAAUACAAGUUUCUCAAGAAUCAGAGGAACAAGGGGUUACAUGGCUCCUGAAUGGGUUUACAAUAUGCCCAUCACGUUCAAAGUGGAUGUGUAUAGCUAUGGAAUCGUUCUGCUUGAGAUGCUGACAGGAGGGAACCUGGUUGCCAGUCAUGCCAUCGAUGGACAAGUAAAAGGCGGGAACAAAAGAUUGACUACCUGGGUGAGAGAGAAGAUGAAACCAGGAGUGGCCAUGGAGACAUGGAUAAGGGAAAUUAUGGAUCCGACCGUAAAAGGACCUUACGACAUCAAGAAGAUGGAAGUUUUGGUUACAGUGGCACUUCAGUGUGUCGAGGAGGACAAAGAUGCGAGACCCACCAUGAGCCAAGUGGUUGAGAUGCUUCUACGCCAUGAAAGUGAAAAUCUGUAAUCAGAUAUCAGCAUAACUGCUUGUGUUCUAGCUCUAAAUAAGUGGACAAUUACAAAGGUAAUAAUCUUUGGAUGUACAAACCUAGGAAAGAUAAUUUAGUAAAUGUCUAGGAACAAGUCCUUGUUUAUCUCUAUUUUAUCAUCUUGGAAAUCUAGGAAAGAUCAUUUAGUAUGAUAGUUCCCGGUAAGAGAGAUCAUCCAACAAUGAGGACACAAUAGAUCUCUUAUUACUGUUUGUCUUUGGUGCUUCAAAUCCUUUAAAUCGGUAAACAUAGAGGUGCCUUAAGCCCACUAGAUGGUACACUUCUUCUUAAUAACAAAUUAUUGACUAGAUAAAAUAGUUACAAUUUGUAAUUUCUAUUGACAUCCAAAUUUUUGUCGAUGUUUUAAAUAUUCAUUUAUUUUGCAAAAAUAAAAAAAAUCAUAAAAAGGUAAAAGACAAAAAAAAAAAAUUGAAAAAAUAUGACUGAAAUGAAAUGAAAAGUCGGGUACAGUAGGCCGGCGUGUUCAGCCCAUCCUUCCAAUGAAUUUUCGGCCCUUUCAAAAGUUAAACCCAGCUUUCCAUUCAUUUCAUCCUUCCGACCGACUUUUUCCACCUUCGUUGAGCCCAUCUCUUUUAAUGUUUUCAUGGCCCAUAAAAGUUUAAAAUAACAAGGAAAGACAAGAGCCCAGUCCAAAGUCAUUUCUUUCUCUUUGCUUACAUGAGCCAAAGCACGUGAAGAGGAAAAGAAAAACAGGCGCGGGUGAGGAGAGGACGGCGACGAGCAAAGCGUGAAUGCGUGCCCGUGAGCGAGGGAGGAACAACAAGCUGUGAUGCAAGCAAAUCCAAGCCUUCUAGAAGGCUGAGCUGGCGGGAGGGAUGAGGAGGCCUAACCGAAAAAGAUUCGGGGAGAGGCGGGGGGAGCGUGCGUGAGCGGGCGAGGAGGCUUCCCCAAAAAGAAGAAGACCAGGUUGCAGAGAGGGAGGAGGGGGCAGAAGUUUUUCUUUGGCUAAGGAAGAGAGGAUCGUUCGGCAGGAGGGGGCAUUAUUCGGCCAUUAGAGAAAGAAAAAGAGCGGGGGCUUUUCUUUUUCUGGAAGGGCCGCUCUCUGUGCGGCCACCACGAAGAACGUUCUCUCGGGUCCAGUCCAUGAUCGUCCUCAUGAGCGACGUUUCCCAAACUCUCCUCGCACCAGCCGGCCAUUUUCUCGAGCUUCGCCAAUGAACAAGCAGUAGUUGCAAUGCCACUUCUGAUCAGGUAAGCAUCUCGCUCCCCCCAGACAUCCUGUUUUUUCUUCAUGCUGUUCAGAAAUUAAGAACAAAAAUUUCAAUCUGUGAGGUCAUGGUCUAAUCUUGUGAAACCGAGAUAUAUUUGUGAGGGACGAUGUUAUUUGGAGUCUAUUAUGUCAAUUUUAGACCGAAAAUCAUAUCAAAAUGGGAUCGGAGGCUUGUUCUUGUACUGCACGUCAUCUAUUUAAUAAAAUGCCUAAAUGAUAUGUCGGCCAUCGAAAUGAUAUCCUACGAUCAACAUAGCUAGAAAAUUGAACAUAUUUGAGAAGAAGACGAAGAUUUGCAUACCUAAUUUGGAAUCCACUGUUUUUUAUGUGGAAUAAUGACGAUUCGACGCUCAGGUUCUUCUCCUCUAUAGCCCUUGGAUCCUAGCUUGAUCAAACCGCCUCUCAUGUUUUCUUAUGUAAGGUGAUAGUGUGUUCAUGGAAGUAUGAGGGUUAAAGGAGAGAUCUUAACACUAUUUAUAGAGUUUUCAGCUGGGCUUUCUCAUCACGAGCCGAGCACAUAAAAUAGGCACAUAUUCGACUAUUAAGAAAUCUUAUACCUUAUCUUAUUAGGCCAACCCCAUAAAACGGCAAAUUACAAUCUCAAUUAAUGUAGCCUACAUCAGGAAAACUCUUACAUUCUCCCACUUGAGCUAUAUUAAUCGAGACUAUACUGUAUGUAUGCACAUUUAUAUUAAUCUAGAGACAAUUCUUAAUAGUCAAUCAUAUCUCAUAAAGUCUCAAAUAUUGUCGCGACCUACCUUUGAGGGGAGGGAGUAGGUUUAUAGAUAUUGCCUAAAAGAUGGACCUAAUGCCCAUAAUUAAUCGCAGGCUCUCCAAAGCUCAUACCUUGCUUGAUAUUGGGGAAUUUUUUAAGAAUUCGCAAAAAUGAGUCACCACUAACCUAUUGAGGUCGGCUAGAAACCAAGUGAGGUAUGUGAGUGUACCUCAUUCCUACACAACCAGAGAAUUUAGGGUUGGAGACUUGAUUAUACUAAUUGACUAAUUAGUGUUUUUUUGAUACCUAAUCUUGUUCAUUUAAAAAGAAAAGAUUUUUAUUAGGUAGUUUGAAUUGAUUUUAUACCUAUCCACUAGCAUGUAAGGUGAUCAUGCGGAUGUGCAAGCAUUAAGAUACUAAUCAUAACUACCUAGAUCUUGUUUGCAGUAAAAUUAAAUAUGUGCAAUUAAACAUAAUUAAAUAUGCAAAUCGAACACACGAGAUAAUUAAUAUAUGAGUAAAUAAAGGCCUAAUUACACUAAGAAGGGAAGACAUAGCAAUUCCUAACCAAACCCUACAUUUUUUAACUUUCGAUUUUUCAAAAAUAUAUAUAUUUUUAUUUUUUUAUUUUAAAAAUAUUAUUUUAAUAUUAUAAAAUUAUAAUAUAUUAAAAACGACCCAAGUCGGAUCCCCAAGUGAGGAUUGACCCGGUUCGUUGGAAAGACGACUUGAGCCCGGAUCAGAUUGGGCUAGACAGCCUGAGUCUGAACUGUGCUGGGCCACGCAACCUAGGCCGCCAGAAACCUAGCCAGGCUGGGCUUGAAGUGCAGGCCCAGUCUGAUCUAAUCUUUAAUCUUAAAAAAAAAAAAAAAAGCCCAUAAGCCCACGUGUUGAACCAGCCCAAACCCAACCUUGAAAUACCCGCCCGAAUUUACUCAAAACCCUACCUAGUUCGCGACUCGGCCCGGCUUUUUUGACCCAGUUCGUGCCUCCUCUCUCUCCUGCUCUUUCGCAGCACCAAAGGAAGAUGGUCGGGACACCGUCAAGCGGUGACUUAGCGACGGUGGGGACGCGGCGGGUGACGACAAGGGCACCGAGGGGCGACGACGACGUCUGGGUCUACAAGGAUGAGCAACAACAAUGUGAUGUCGGUGUGAUCAGUGGCGGCACAACUUGAGGGAGCGACACGGGCGACAUAGCGAUAGCGUCAAACCCAAGUGUUGCAACAAUUGGGGUCAAACAACAGCGGCUCGAACGACGUCGAGCCCAGGCGUUACAGUAGUCGAGGUCGGAGGGUGGCGGCUCGGAUGGCAUCGAGGUCAAAGGGCGACGGCUGGGAUGGCGUCAAGUAGCGGCGACGACGCCUCCUUCUUCCUCGGAUCCUGCCCCCCUUUCCUUUUGGCUUCCCCUCUGCUCUCUUGGCUUCUUUCCUCUACUCUACGCCUGCUCCGCUCUCGUGGAUCAGCAACGUGGCGUUACUGCUUCAAGUUGUAAGGGAUGGGUAGGUUAUAGGAGUAGCGAUGGCGCGACGAGGAGGCUNNNNNNNNNNNNNNNNNNNNNNNNNNNNNNNNNNNNNNNNNNNNNNNNNNNNNNNNNNNNNNNNNNNNNNNNNNNNNNNNNNNNNNNNNNNNNNNNNNNNACCCCCCCCCCCCCCCCCCCCCCCGGGAAGGUCGAGGGCGGCAAGCCUUGUUGCCCCCCAAAAGAAGACCCCCCCUCUUCUCCUCUUUUUUUCUUUCUCUUUUUCUUCUCUUCUUUUUUCCCCUCUCCCAUGUCCACUCUCACAUCCCUUCUUCCUAUUCUCCUCCUGUUGUGCUGCCUUUUGCUGCAGGUCCUUGAGUGUGAAGAUGCAAACAGGAGGAGGCAAGUUGGGAUGGGCUGGGAUGAAGGGGAGAAGGGCCGAGCCCAUGCGGGGAAGGAAAGAAAAAGGCGGGUCAGGCCAAGGCGGGAUCCGACCUGACUCGACCCUUCCACGUUUUCUCUUCUUUUUUUUUGUAAUUAACUUAUUUUGACAAAUUUUUAAUUUUUUUCUUUAUGAUGAUGAAUUUUUUGGAAAAAAUUAAGAAAAAACCAUUCAAUGUGUAGUGCAAUAAUGAAAACACAAUACCUUUUUAAUGACUUUUUUUACUUUUCUUUCUUUUUUUUUCUUUUUUUUAACAACUAAUUCCCAAUUUUGUAUAUGAUUAAGUCCUAAAUAAGAUGGUAAAAUUUAGGUGUCAAUAAAUAUCGAAUCAUAGCGAUAAUUACAUGUACCCACAUAGAACCUUCCAUGAUCAUAAUUGCUUUCAACUUUACUUAUAUGGAUUCAAUAUAAUUGUGUGGCGAAUGGAUAAUACCUCAUAACAAGUAAGACCUUAUUAGUCAUCCCCUUUGUUGAUCACUAUUUUUUUACCUUAAGUGUCACAAGAAACCGAAUGUGCCACUAGAGAAUAUCUUUAUGAUUCUAAUGAACUCAUAUAUGUCUUAUCUUUAUGAUUAACCUUUCAUUAUAUGUGAUAACCGGAUACCCCCAGCCUUCACUCAAGGCUUACACAAUACCUUAAGAUAUCAUUACAAGUAAUCAACUUAACAUGAUGACAACACAUUCAUGGACACUUUAUUGAAUAUGAAGGAGUCUAUACAUGUUAAAAUGUUAUUGAAUAUAACAAAACAUAGACGCAAGCUUUAUUAGAGUAAAAUCAAAACAACUCCCAUUAAACAGCAUCAUCCAAUGAUGCUUCUUAGCCCAUGUUUAUGACAUAUUACUCAAGUACGAAGGUGUUUAGUUAAUAGAUUUGUAACCAUAUCAUUUGUAGAAAUAUGCUCUACUAUAACGCCACCAUUUUGUAUCUUUUUUUAUGGUCAAAAACUUAACUACCAUAUGUCUAGACCCCCUCGAGACCUUUAUUGUUGUUGAUAAACAACACUGAAGAGUCAUUAUCUCAAUACAACCGUAUGACUCUAUUCACAAAAUCAAAUAUGGUCAACUCCUUAAUGAGGUUCCAAAAUCAAAUAUCCCAAGUAACAGCUGAAACAUAUUCUACAAACUUCGUUUAUACGGUUGAGGAUGAUAUAGAUUUCUAUUUUUCACUUUGUCAUGAUAUUGCACCUUCUGCUAAUAUAAAGAUAUAUUAUGUUGUCGACUUCUUAUCAUCCUAACAGUCAGCAAAGUUUACAUCGGAAUACCCUACAAACUCUAGGUCAUGAACAUGUCUAUAAAUUAGCAUAUAGUCACUUAUCCUUUUAAGUACCUAAAAACUUUCUUGGCAGCAAUCUAGUGAUUGUGUCCUCAAUUUGACUGAUAUUAACCCAAAAGUUUGUUGUAAAACCAAUAUCUAGCCUAAUACAAACUUGAGUAUACGAGAUACUUCCAAGUGUACUAGCACAAGGUACGUCCUUCAUUUAGGUUUUCCUAAAAUUUGAAUGAGGACACUGCGAUAAACUCAUUUAUUACCCUUAAUAACAUGAGUAAUUCUAAACUUGCAAUAUUGCAUACUAAGUCUUUUCAGAAUACGAUCAACAUAUGCAAUUUGAGAUAAAUCUAACAUAUAGCGAGAACAAUCCCUAUAGAUCUCAAUGCUAAGGACAAAAGAUGCCUCAUCAAGAUCUUUUAAGUCAAAAUUCUUUGAUAGCAUUUGCUUUGUCUCAUAUAGUAAUCCAAUACUGCUACUUGCAAGUAAGAUGUCGUCCAUAAAAAGUAUGAGAAAAAUAAAUUUUCCCCCACUGAUCUUGCAGUAUAUGCACCGAUUUACUUUGUUCUCAACAAAACCAAAAGAAAUGAUGACAUUGUGAGACUUCAAGUAAUUCAACAAGUUCCCAAACACUAUAAUGUUUCAUCGCAUCUAACCACUGAUUUGAUUAAGAACAAGAAACAACAUUUAAUUAUGUCACUAGAUCGAUCACAAAGUAGAUAUCGUGAUCAUGCUCUCACAUAUAGACUAUAUAAUCUAGUGGUAUAACUAAGGGCAUGUUUGGCAACGUGCCAAACAGUGCCAGAUUUUGAUUUUUUGUUCCCAGAAUCAGUUUGGGACGAGAAUCGCAUUUGGUAAAAUUUUUGUUCCCGGUAACAAAUUUGUUCCCGGGAACAAUUUUGGACAAGAUUUGAGAAUAAAAAAAAUAAAAUUGAUUCUCCGUCCGAGAAUCAGAAAAAGAAUCAAAACGGUGAAACCCUCGCUCUUCCCUUUCGUCAUCCCGGUUGCCAUCUGUCACCGCCCGCCACUGUCCGCCACCGGUCGCCGGAGGCUCGCCAGGCCAGGGCAAGGUCCGGCGAGCUCACCGGAGGCAAGCCCAGCCACCGGCAAGGCUCGGCCUCGCUGGUGGCCAGGCGGGCCUCGCCCAGCCCCAGCGAGGCCGGCAGCUGGGCGAGGCUCGGCCUCACCAGAUCGGGCGAGGUCAAGCCUCGCCGGUGGCUGGGAGAGCCUCGCCCAACUGCCGGUGAAGCUCGCCUGGCCACCGGCGAGGCUCGCGGGGCUGGGCGAGCCUCGCCUAGUUGCCAGCGAGGCUCAGCCGAUGAAGGCCGACCUCGCCGAGGGCCGGGCAACGCUCCGGUGAGCGUCGCCGGCCCUCGUCUGGCCGGUCGCCGGUCCGGCAACCGGCCAGAUGAAGAAGAAGAAGAAUAGGAAAAAAGGGAAAAGAAGAAAAAAAAGAAAAAAAGGAAAAAAGAAAAGAAAAAAGUAAAAAGUAAAAAAAUUAUUUAAAAUUUAUUUAAAAAUUAAAAUAAAUUAAUUUGGAACAUAAUCAAUUAACACGGUAUCAAAUGCAAUUCUAUUCCAGAAUAAAAAAAUUUGGACAGUUACCAAACGCGCUUUUUUACUCAGAAUCAGUUCUCGGAAACAGAAUAAAAAAUAAUCAUUUCUAGUUAGAAUCAGCUCCCGGGAACAGAAUCGUUACCAAACGCGCCCUAAUUGUCUCUCCCUAAUUCUCCUGAGUGGAGCUACAAUCAUUUCAUCCUGUACUUGAAGAGCUUGAAAAACUUCAUCAUGAAUUGUAUCAAUAACAAUAUCCUAAACCUUAACAGGUUUAGCAUGUGGUGUAAGAGACUCCACAAUCGUCUGUACAGGCAAAGACAAAGACAUAAUGGUCUCUAUCUUUAAUAGCCUGAGAGUAGUUAUCCUCUACGACUACGUUGAACUCUAAAAACUUGAUGUCUGUGAUUUCACAAUUCUUGCACCUCAUCUGAACCAUCAUACCUUAUGUUGAAGAAUCCUAAUAUUUAUCUUAAUCUCGGCAUUAAAUAAGACACAAUUUCAUACCAUCAACGCUUCCAUCAUCCUUUUAGCCGUGCAAUUAGCUAGUAAACCAUUUUCAAAUGUUCCUAUAGAACACUUCAUGGAUAACGAACAUAUUUAAUUGCUCAUUUUUCCAAGCAACAAAAUGUAAUUUCUAGUUCCACAUCACCGACAGUAAAAUUGCCAACUUAUUCUCAGUAAGAGCAAUAUGAACAUCAACUAACUUCAUCAUAAACAGAAAAUCAUCCUUCACUAUUUAAAGUUUGACCCAGCAAGAACCUUAAUCACAAUGGAGUUGUCAUUUACAAAGGAGAUGACUUAAUAACAAACAAUAUGUAUAAUCGACAUCAUGUGAGUAUUGUGUAACUUUAGAACUGUAUAAGUACACAUCCUGAGAGCUAUAUACAUCAUCAUAUAAACACAUUUAGAUAGAAUACAUGAUAUGCAAUUGCAUACUCUCUACAUAAUAGCGAUCAUGAGAUUGCGAAUUCACCACCUUUGGAUGUAUGAACCAUUAAAGUCAGUUACUCAUCAACCACAUGCUGUACAUGGAUCCCUUUAUGAACUAAUAUACAAUCACCUCAUUUCGGAGUAUGACUACAUGUUAGAACAUGAGACAUCCCAUCACAAUAUAAGACCGGUAUUUCUCAUCAAGCGUGCCACUUUGGCAGUCACAACCCAAUUGAAUCAUUGAAACUCUCUUAUACUAAGGAUAUAAACUUUAAGUCUCACAUUUACUUUAUACAUGUGAUUUUAGACUUGAUAACAGGGGCAAUUUGUCACUAAAAUUACAUGUCAUGCCAAUUAUAUUACUCCAUUUAUUGAUGCAUGUUGAACCUUAUACAUAUUAUUAAUGAAUCAAUGCUCUAUGCAUUCAUUAUGUCAUGAUACACAUAUAAGCUCGCAACGAAUUUUCAAAACCAUAGAGAAAAGCAUGAAAAAUACCCCCAAAAUCCAUUAUUUAGGGUUUCACAUGCAUUUCAUAUCCUUAAAAAUAUCAACAUGUAAAAAAAAAAACAAAAAAUACAUUAUAGUAUAGAGAAAUUCCAUAUGAGCACGCUAGUGUCAAUCACGCGUCGAACGAAGGUCCCACACGCCCUUGCGGGCCGCCGAAGUACGCGACGCAUGAACUGCACGCGCUAGCAUGCUUGAACCAAUCCGGCUACUGGUUCGACCGGGUUUGAUCGGUCCAACCAGUCAACGGUCCAAUUGCGUCAGGUCACCCAGUCAACCUGUGUCGGGUCAAUUGUCAAACCGGAUUGAGUCAGCCCAAUAAAACUUGGUUGAGUCAUCCCGACCGAGAGAAUGACGUCAGCUCCGACGAGGCAGUGGCCAAGUUAACAGACAUCACCUACUGCCUUAGGCGGUUAUGAGCUCGUGCGUACAAGCGUGUGAGCACGCUCAAUGGCACGUGGCGCCACUCUCUAGAGUUGUCGUGAUGCGUGCAAGCGCAUGGUGGCGCGUCCAACUUCUUCUAGAGGUGUGCGACCCAUCACUGCUACCAAAUAUUGGCCGUCAAAAUGGCAUCUCAAGAUCAACAAAGCUAGAAACUUGAACAUAUUGGAGGAGAAGACAGAGAUUUGCACACCUGAUUUGGAAUCCAUCAUUCUUUAUGUAGAGCAGCGACGAUUUCAACACUCAUGUUCUUCUCCUGUUAUAGCUCUUGAAUCUUGGCUAAACGAGACCGCCCCUCACAGCUUUCUUAUGUGACAUGAUAGUAUGAGGGUUAGAGGAUGGACCUUAAUGCUAUUUAUAGAGUUUUCAGCCAGACCCUCUCAUUACGGGUCGGGUCCAACUCAGUCUACAUAAACCAGGCCCAUAUUCAACUAUUAAGAAACCUUAUGCCUUACCUUGUUAGACUAAUCCCGUAAACCGGUAAAUCACAAUCUCAAUUGAUACAAUCGACAUCAGGAAAACUCUUACAUGAUAUACUGAAAAUCCAUGCUAUUCGAUCACCAUUAGAAGUUUAGUUUAAUGCUUCAUUGUUCUUAUAUUGUCGAAGGGCGUCGGACAUUUGUGUCUCUGGUUUUGUUUUAUGUGAUUUCGUGGAAACUAAUCCUUUGUAAUCGAGUUGGCCAUGGAUGAACACCUCGCCAGAGAUGCUGUUCCUUCAGCCAAAGAAGCCCACGGUUUAAAGCCAUUCGAGUCAGCAUCUCUCUCUAUUGUAAUGUGCUUAUGUUUGUUUGUUGCCGAUAUUGCUAGUGUUAGAGGUUUAGGUAUGGUGAGAUGUUUAUUUUUGGUGUUUUAAUGGUCGCCGAAAUUGGCCGACCGGAAGUGAUGAAUGCCGGUUAGUCGUGUUGGCCAGUGAUGAUGUAGGAUGGUGACCAGCAGCUAAAUGGCAGUGGUGUCAAGUGUUUCUCGACGGCGAAGACGUAGCAGGAGUUCAGCCCCAUUAAAGGAGGAGCCAGAAGUUGAAGACAAUGCUGGGUUGAAGGAGAUGGGCAGAAAAAGACAAAAUAGGAAAAAAUAAUAAAUGAGAAAAGGAAAAAAAAACAGUAGAAAAAUAAAAGGGCCAGGGGGUAUUCUGUUGUGGGUUGGGCUCAUUUCAAAAUGUGGGCCGAAAAAGAGUUAAAAAAAAAAAACGGUUCAUGGACUUUUUUAAUUAAUUACAAGCGAGCUUUUAGGGUUAAUGUUUUUAGCCCAACCCAUUCCAAUAGGGUUCGGGUUAUUUAGUUGGGUCGGAUUUCUUGACUCGGUCCGAAUCCCUUUUAUAUUAAUAAAUAAAUAAAUAAAUUUAAAAUUUUAAUAAAUAAAUAAUAUAAAAUUAAAAAAGGAAAAUAUUAUUAAAAAUUCAGAAAAUGAUAAAAAAAGUUUAAAAUCUUUAGGGAAUAAUAAAAAAUUUCAGAAAAUUCGCAAAUCAAUAAAAAUUAGAAAUUUUAGAAAAUCAUUAAAAAUUAGAAAAUCCAAAAAAUGAUAAUUUUUUUUAUAAAAAAAAAUAGAGGAUCCUUUGAAAGUAAAACCUAGAAUUGGAUAACCUUUUAGGGCUUUACAAUAAGGAUUCUUGUUUUGCUUUGUCUUGUUUUCUUUUUAAUGGACAAUUUAGGAUGCUUGCAUAUUCUCUAUAAUGAUUAUAAUUGUUUGUGCCUUUCAAUAUUUGGAUGUUUUUUCCUUGUUUUAGAAUGGUUAGGACAAAUCUUUUUAUUUUCUUGAUAGGGUGCUAUGGCAUUGGUUAGCAUAUGAUUAGAUUAGAUACUGAAAGGAUAUUAGCCUUAGGACUAACGUAAUCAAAUUCCCGAGUCCAAAAUCUCUGGUUGCGUAAAUAAUAAGAUAUCAUUCCGUAUCCUACUGGAUUUUUAGCAAAGCCCAAAAGGGCUAGUGGCGACUCUUUAGUCAAAAUUGCAUAAACUUAAUUGAUUAAAAAUUUGAACGCUCGAUGUCGCAUAAAUAUGGACUUGGGAGAGCUCAAAUCAAUGGAAGGCCAUCGGCUCGAAGUUGACAAUACUCCUAAACCUAACAAACUCCCUCUCCUAUGAGAGGAGUUAGGUCGCAACAAUUUCCUUUUUAGACAUUUUUUUUAACAUAAAUAUCGCCAUACACUUCUUCAUUCUUUUUCUGCAGUGCUUUGCUAUGAGCUAGUCUACUACCUAAACCAAAGUGGUUCACUUGGGUCAGGGAAUUUGCCAUCAAAACAUAGUUCGAACUUGUUGAUACCAAAAGUUGAUUUGGUUAUCGAUACACGUGUGCUUAGCAUGAGAAUGAGAAAUUAUUGGCAUAUGAGCAGGAAUAAGUAGCAGUCACGUGCAUAACGCAUAAGUGUCACCUUAUACAGCCGUCAACGAAUAUAGAAGUUAAGAUUUUUAGGUCGGACCCUUAACGAACUUUGUUCAUCACUCUUUUGACUACGUUGUAGUUAAGUUUCAUGUUUGUUAGACCUGGUUUAAUAGGUUGAAUAUCUAUUGAUAUGUCGUGAUGCUCUGUUGUCUUAAUGAUUUUCUAAUGUGAUGUUGCGCAUUGUUGAAUUUUUACAAAUUCUUAUGUAACCAUUUUAGAAAAUUUUCUUCACGGAGUAUGUUCCCCGUGAUGUUGUGGAUAUCGUGUAAUUUUCUUAGAACAAAUUAUAAAUGGGUUCCUUUUUCAAUUGUGUUGAUUUUAUUUACCCUGUUAUGUGGUGUUUUGUUACUAUUCUUUGCCGUGUUUUCCUUCUAGAAUUUCUUAGGUUAACUUGCAUGUUGAGUCUGCUUCAGAUUUAUUCACGGACUUUGUUCUUCACUUUUUGCACUUUAUACAAAAAAACUCUUGAAAAAUAAAAAGCACUUUAGUAUGUUUUUUCGACCUUUUAGAAUGUCAUGAACUUGUCUAAAUUUUCCUGUUUUUGUCAAUUUGAACCUAAUUUUAGUUGAAGUGAUACUCAUGCACACACUUUUUAUGUCGUCUUUGAAUUUCAAACUUUCAAACCAUGCUCUUGGUUUGGUAUUGAUGUUACCUAAAGUUUGGGACAUAUUUAAGGGAUCUGCAAAGUCGAUUAGAGUAGACAGGAUGCACCUGAUUUAACCUUGACAAUUAAAUGUGUUCCAUAACUGUGAUACAUCUUUGUUAUACCAUUAGCAUAUUUUCUCACAAUUCACUAUCAAUUGUUCUUCAAAUAAUUUUUUAGCAUCAUUUUAACUCUUAUAACCUUGAACUUGUUUACCUUUCUUAAAUGCAUAUGAUUGUGAUUAGUGUGUGUCGACUAAAUAAGUGAUCCAGUGUUGGCUCAUUGAAAUUGUCUGCUUGAUUGAGGACCAAGGCUUAAGGGUCUGCUGGCAUGUUUAUUUCCCGUUAUGCAUGUGUUCUAUUAGAUGUAUGCAUAGGUACGAUGUAUGAUUCCAUUGGAUGACCUCGGCAUUCACUUAGAACAUGUUUUAAGGGUUUAUAAGCAUUGGUUGCCAUGCAAGAACACAAAUAGUGGCCAAUAGCUGCAAGCUAUUGAAAUGAAUUGGGAUAGGUGUCUAGAGUUAUUGACACAUGAAUUGCAAAAGCCGACCCCGAGGCCCAAUUUGUUCAUUUUGCACGUGGUUUCAAUUGUUUGAUUCUUCUUGAUUGUCCUGUGAAUGUUUUUUUCAUGAAUGAUUGUUUCUUUCCUAUUGUAUGUACCUAGUCAUAGUUUUAGGUUAGGAUUAGAAUAGGUCCAUGGAAAUGGAGAUACUUCAAGACUUGAAGAUGAGGGAAGGUCGAUGUCCUAUCCGACCGUAUUUUUUGUAUCACUUGUCCCCAAUAUAUGUUUCCGGUUAUCUCGUAUUGUAUAAACACCCGACGAGUUGCAAGUUUAUUUCUUCCAUUUAUUUUUGUUCAUUGCUUAGGUUGUAUGUUAGAUUUACUGCAUUCCCUAAAUUGCUUACUUGAUUGUUUACUUACUGCAUUAUCUUUAAAUUUCAAGUGUUUGCCUUCUUUUCUCUUUCAUUGAAAUAGAAUAGCAUAAAAGCAAUCAUCCACACAUGAUCAUUUAGCUAGUAUAAUCGACCCAAAAAAAUAAACAAAAAUGCAUGGAUACCUUAGGAAACAUGACAUAAUAUUAAGUACCAAAAUGGCGCUAAUAGAAAUAUUAGUGUAACCUAAGUCUCUGAAUAUAUAAUCUCUAGCUACAUAGAAAUCGAGGGCCCACUCCCGACCCUCGAUUAGGUUUUCUAGCCGACCUUAAAAAAGAAGGCUAGUGGUGACUCCUAUCUUUUUAGGUUGUUUUAAAUAACUAGUUAAUAAAUGAACCUAUCGUAAGAGGUAUGGGUCUUGUCGAGACUCACCAGAGUUUAGCAUACCCAUUGUGGAAACCUCCUAAUGGAUAAAGGUUGCGUUUGGCGACCACUUUAUCAAACAAUAAAGUGAUAACAUUUUGAAAUGUCUUUCAUUAAAUGUUUCCCAAAUCAUUUUAGAACACAUUCUAUAAAUCAGUUAGAAACAUAAUACAAAUAAAUAAACUUUCACAACACCUUCCAUAACAACUUUUUCAAACCAUUUUCAAAUAAUUGAAGAGCAAUAAAUGCCCGAUCUAGAUUUUAAUGUAGUAACAAUGUUAUAUGUUAACUCAUAAAAUAUCAUUUUUAAACAUGAGGUAAAAAACUUAAAGAAAGAUAACACCACUCACCUUGAACUACCUACAAUCAAACAAUGAAGAUUACUUGAACCAUUAAACUCACAAUCUUAUCAAAUAAGUGAAGAACAAAAUUAAAAUUUUAAAAAAUAAUGCGUGUUAAGUCAAUUUUGAGUUUUGAGUUUUGACUAAGGAGUCAUUGAGCUACAUGGCCAUCAAGUUAGAUACUGUUCACAUUGGUCCAAGAGAGCACAAGUAUCACUACCGCAGAUAGGAUGCCGCUAGGAUGGCAAAAGGGACAGGAAUGAACCGAACCAUGCACCAAUCAGAGGAAGAAUGUUUUUAGGGUGAUUUAUCAAGGUAGCGCAGCAGAAUUUUGGUUAAGUUUGUAGAAUUUCAGUUUGUUGUAAUAAAGCUAUAGAAAGAAGAAUCACUGGCUAGAGUUGUACUUGACUAGUUUGCUUAAGAAUAACUUUGACGUCAUAUAUAAAAAGGUUUAACUCGAGGAGCUUUUUGUUGUAAUGAAUUGUUGUCGUAAUGUAAUACAGUUUGACCUAUCAACGGAUGAAAGUUUCGAAUUUAUCGGAAGUUGAGGAGGACCCUCAAUUACCCUAAUCUCAUCGCUUGAGGCAACCCGUUUGUUAGAUGGGGGAUGUCAAGGUUACCUAGCAACUGUCAUGGAUACGAUAGUUGAAAAGCUAAAGAUUGAAAACAUUGCAGUAGUUCGAGAAUUUCCAAAUGUGUUUCUAAAAGAAUUGCCAGGUUUGCUGCCGGAAAGGGAGAUAGAGUUCGUGAUUGAGUUAGCACCCGGGACAGAGCCAAUCUCUAAGACUCCUUACUGGAUGGCGUUGUCUGAUUUGAAGAACUGAAGGUGCAGAAGAUAGGGUAUCAUCAGUUGAGGAUUAGAAAAGAAGACAUACUGAAUUAGCAUUUCGUACUCGAUACGGCCAUUAUGAAUUCAUUGUAAUGUCGUUUGGUUUAACAAACGCCUAGCUACUUUCAUGGAUCUAAUGAACUAAGUGUUCAAAGAGUAUCUGGAUCGGUUUGUGAUCAUGUUCAUCGAUGAUACCCUAGUGUACUGGAGAAGCCUAAAGGAGCAUGAAAGGCAUUUGAGGAUGGCACUUCAGACACUGAGGAUUCAUGAGAUGUAUGCCAAGUUUAGCGAGUGCAAGUUUUGGUUGACUCGUGUUGCUUUCUUAGGUCUCGUGAUUUCAGGCGAAGGAGUCUCUGUGGACCCGACCAAGAAGCAGUUAUCAACUGGCCAAGACUAACAAUAGUAAUAGAGAUUAGAUGUUUCUUGGAUUUAGCAGGGUACUACUGAAGGUUUGUGAAAUGAUUUUCAGCUUUAGCUUCACCGUUGACUUGAUAGCUAAAGAAGGAAUAGAAGUUUGUGUGGAACAAUAAGUGCGAGUGUAAUUUUCAAGAGUUUAAGCAGAAGCUAACUACCGCACCAGUAAUAACCAUACCAUCUGGUCCUAGAGGAUAUGAGAUCUAUAGUGAUGCGUCAUUUAGAGAACUAGGUUACAUGCUGAUGUAACAUGGUAGGGUUGUUGCAUAUGUGUCCCGUCAAAUAAAACUUCAUGAGCUGAAUUAUCCAACGCAUGACUUAGAAUUCAUAGUAAUCAUUUUCGCUCUGAAGAUUUGGAGACAUUAUUUAUAUGGAGAAAGAUUCUAGAUCUUCAUUGACCAUCAAAGUCUCAAGUAUCUAUUCUUUCAGAAUGAGUUGAAUAUGAGACAGCGUCGCUGGAUGAAACUCCUAAAGGAUUAUGAUUGUGAUAUUCUGUAUCACCUGGGAAAGACUAAUAAAGUUGCAAAUGCGCUUAGUCAGAAGUCUUCAAUUGCGCAUAUGAUGGUUAAGGAAUGGAUUUUACUCAAGAGAGCUCGAGAUUUGGUUUUCAAGUUUGAAGUAGUCCACCUUUCCAAUCUUAUGACCAUCCUCAGAAUUGAACCAGAAGUACAUAUCAGAAUUAAGACGCUUCAGUUGACAGACCCGGAUGUUCAAAAGAUCCUGCAAGAGGAUACUGAAAAGAAACAGGUUGAUUUUUAGAUUUCUAAAAACGGAACACUAAGGUUCCAAGGAUCAUUGUGUGUACUUGACGAUGUGGAGCUUAAAUAAGAGAUCUUGUCAGAAGCUUAUCGUAGCAAUUACAGCAUUCAUCCUAGCAGUACAAAGAUGUAUCAGAAUUUGCAUCAACACUAUUGGUGGACUGGUAUGAAGGUGGAUAUCGCUAAGCAUGUUGCCAAGUAUCUGACGUGUCAGCAAGUGAAGGCAUAACAUUGUAAGCUGGGAGAACUUCUGCAACCUCUUGAGAUUCCUGAAUAAAAAUGGGAACACAUCACAAUGGAUUUUGUGAUAGGCUUACCAAGGAGUCAGAGAGGUAAUAAUUCCAUUUGGGUAGUGGUCCACAGACUGACGAAGUCAGCUCACUUUAUCGCCGUACGAAAGGACCUUGAAUUGGACAGGCAUGCGAAGUUGUAUGUGUGUCAAAUUGUUCAUCUGCACAUAGUGCUAGUGACGAUAACAUCAGACCGAGACCCAAGAUUCACAGCUGCAUUUAGGAAUGAAGCUGUAGUAUAGUACGGCCUAUCAUCCUAAAAAAAAUGGCCAGUCGAAGAGGAUGAUUCAAACCCUUGAAGACAUACUGCGAGCUUGCAUGUUGGAUUUCAAGGGAAGCUGUGAGGAACAGCUUCAUCUUGUCGAGUUCGCCUUCAACAAUAGCUACCGGCAGAGCAUUCAGAUGGCUCCUUUUGAAGCAUUGUAUGGUAGGGUGUGCAGAACGCCAGUGUGUUGGAAUGAGGUCGGAGAACGGAAGAUCACAGGCCCAAAGUUAGUUCAACAGUCAAUGGAUGCAAUUGCCGUUAUCACUGCCGUUAUCAGAGACAGAUUAAAGACCACUCAAAGCCGCCAGAUAAGCGUCGAAGACUAUUGGAAUUCCAAGUUGGUGAGCACAUCUUUCUGAAGGUGUCACCAAUAGGGGUACUUCAUGCUUCGGCAAUAAGGAAAAGUCAAAUCCGAGGUACGUGGGUCACUUUAAAAUUCUGGAAAGAAUCGAGAUCCUAGUGUAUCGUCUUGCACUGCCACUGAGGUUGGCAUAAGUGCAUGACGUCUUUUCACGCGUCGAUGUGGAGGACGUAUGAGCUUGAUCCAAAUCAUGUGCUAAAUUUUGUAGAAUUAGACAUGGACAGCUGGGAGUCAUACGUGGAAAGCAGAAUUCAGAUUGUGGAUUGGAAAGGACAUAUUAUGCACACCAAGACAAUCUUGUUGGUUAAAGUGGUCUGGCAACACCACAGCACAGAGGGAACAACCUGAGAAAGUGAAGAUUCGAUGAAACGACUGUACCCCACAUUUUUGUUUAAAGAUUUUUAAGGGUUUAAAUUUCGAGGACGAAAUUUUUAUAAGAGGGGAAGAGUUGUGACAUCUUGAUUUUCAAGUUCUAUUUUCGAUUGAAUAAGUUAUGUGGCACCCCUCGACGGCCCCCGAUCCGAUUAGGGUCGCCACAGUUCGCUUACCAUUCACUUUUCCUAAUAACACGUCACUCUGAUACCAUUUCAAUUGCAGCGGGUCCAUACAACCUGGGGGUUUACAUCUUUUAGAUUGGUCCCUUGUGCAAUUUAUAUACGGAAGCACAUCCAACAACUCCCUUCCCUAUAUUCAGAAAGCGAUGCACAUCAACUAAACAUUUAUAGGUAAAAGCCGUACACUUUUAUUUACUUAAACCAGAUGGACAUCAUUCAUCGGUACAUCAAAAUGCCGCAGUCUUCAGUACUCGGCUAUACUUCAAAAGAUGAUCGACAUCUCCUCCCACAAUCGUAUGCUUAAGGUCCAUCAACCAGUGUCGGCGUCCAAAAGUUCCAUCCUUUGCUAUCCAUCUCCUCACGGUCAUAUCCAACCGCUCAAACCAUCUACUAAUCUGAAAUGUUGGUCAUCAAAAGGGGUGAGUACAACCACUCAACAGGUAAAGGACCAAUAAACCACUCAAUGCAUCAUGCCACACAAUCAUCACAAUCAUAGCAUUACAUGUCAUUGAAGUAUCCAUGCACAAUUUACCUUGAUAUCAUGCACAUGUCAUCAUAUCUUAUGUACAUACAUCAUCAUUUAGUCAUCACCAUCAUGUCAUAUACUUACCAUCAUCAUGUCACACAUACCAUCAUGCCAUAGGUGCACAUACAUCCAUGCACUCAUGUAUACAUGUUGCCAUACCAUGCAUAAGUCAAUUUCAAUUUCCCAAUUUUAUUCUUUCAUUUUGGGCUACCACAUUUCUCUUUCCCGGGACCAAUAUUUGCAUCCCACAUUUAUUGCUUGCGCCCAAACUGGCAUCGCGAGGAACCUCCGGGCAUGUAUUCAAAAUACAACCGCGCAUCUGGCCCCCCACAUUCCGGGCAUCUCGUAUCCCAACUAGCAUCACGAGAAACCUCCGGGCAUGUAUCCAAGAUACAACCGGGCAUCCGGCAUUUACACUCCCUGACCGGGCAUCUCGCAUCCCAACUAGCAUCGUGAGGCAUCCCCCUGGGCACAAACCUCCAGGGCUUCUGGAAUUACGUACCGCCAUACCACCAGGCACUCCCCUUGGAAUUACGUACCGUAUACCACCGGGCAUCUCGAAACUCCCGAGGACCCUCCGGGCAUGCAUCAUGAUACAACCGGGCAUCCAGCACAAACCUCUUGGCAUGUAUCAUGACACAACUGGGCAUCCGGCACUCCCUAGCCAGGCAUCCCGACACUCCCGGGGCAUCGUCGGCUCACACCUCCGAUGGCAUUCUCAUUUAUCAUAGUUUAUAUUCACAAUUGUGGCUCAAUUUCAACAUGGCAUAUAAUGUGAUGGCAAACAAGAUCAUUUUCAUCAUUCGGUUCAUUUCCAAUCAUCAACAUACAUGCAGCAAGACACUAUCAUCCAAUCAAUACAAUUCAUGGAGUCCAUGCAAUUUAAAAUGGUCCAUAUUUCAUGCCCUUUUCAAUGUUUACAAAAUUCCAGCUUGUACCAUUUUAGAAAACAUUUGAAUUAAAUAUCCAUAUGAUUCUAAAAAAUCAUGAAAUCAGGAUAUGAAAUAUACAAGACAAUAAGAUAACAACUUCGUGAAGAACACAUGCCCUAAAGAGUUUCACACAAGAAGAUAUAAUCCACACAAAUACAGCAUGCAAUUUCGGAUAGAAACAAAUUGCGCAGUUUUUGAAAUAAUUCGAUUAAAAUACCUGAAUGACCUUCGAAAAUUAUGAAAUUUUACCAGGUUAUAUUUAAGACACUAAAGUAUAUUUUUAAUGAAGACAUCUAGUCCAGAUUAGUCCUAGAUAAUUUUAUAUAGACGUACGAAUCUCCUGGUUCUCGCACCGAAACGUCCGGUAUAGUUAUCUCCGAAACAUCGAGUUUUCACCUACUCAUUAUUCUUCGUUUCCUCUGAAAUUUGGAUAUGUUUUUCUUCAAGAGGUCCCCUAUAACUUUAAUUAAGGGAUCUAAGCGAAAUUUCCAAAGAAUAGUCUCCAUAUGGGUCUAAGAAGUCUCGAGUGUCCAGUACCGUAUUUCCAGAUCUACCGUCUUCAAGAAUAAGUCGAUUCACUAGGCUACACUUGCUAAUUUUACUUCAAAUUUUAUUAUGUUAGUCCUUAGGAUGUUCUAUACAAGUUUCAUGAAGAAGUCGAAGAGAAAUUAUUGGUAAAAAGCAACAUACAACCCACAAAACUACCGAAAGGUCAGCAAAGCAGUUCCAGAUCUAGUAUCUUUGUAGGAAGAGGGUUUUUCCCCUUAAAUCUCAACCAUUUUGUCCCAAAUUUUAGUAUGUUGUAUUUUAAAAUGUUGGCUACAACUUUCAUGAAGGAAUAAAAGUCAAAAUCCAACUCAAAACAUGCAUUCAAGACUCCACAAGUUUCUGGGUCGAGCAGUACGCACGAAAUCAGCAAGCAUCUUCAAGAGCAAACCACAUUUGCUUCGAUUUCUUGACUCUAAACAUCCAAAAUUUUCAACCACACAUGCAAGACACACAUGCAAGAGUAGAAAUUGAUCGUAACUUGCCUCCAAAAUCGAGCAAACGACGGCACACGGACGGCGACGAACGAGCGGACGGGCAGCUCUUCCUUGCGCGAUCUCUUCUUCCUUUCUCUCGGUUUCUCUCACUCUCAAUUUCUCUCAAUCUCUCUUCUCUCUCUUACUUCCGAGAAUCCCCUCCCCUUUCUUGCUUUUUGAUUAAUCAAUUAACUCUAUUUUUUGCAUGAAAGAAAAUGAUUAAGUGGAUGUAAGAUGGACAAGUGUCUAAUGGCAAGGGACAAGUGUAAUUGUGGAGGAAGACAAGUGUCCACCAUGCUUCACCUCCUUCAUGCCACUUGUCCGAUUACAUGCAAGGUUGAUGGGCCUUCUUCUUGGGCCAAUCUUGGGCCAGCUUGGUCGACCACUUCAUGGCUCUAUGGGCCGGGCCUCUUGGCCCACUUUAGGCCCAUCUCACUUGGGCCUAAAGCCCAAACUUAAAUGGCUCAAGUUUAUUUUUAAUAAUACAUUUUAAUCCUCAUUUAAAUAAAUACCUAAUUGCAUAACAAAAUGGCCAAAAGACUUUGUGACAUUAAUCCAUCAAAUCUAUAAAGUGCAUAGUCAAGAACAAAGUCUUCUUUAUCCAAUUGUCCGAUGUCCAAUUUAAAUAGUCCAUAGAAAAAUAUCAAUAAUAAGCCCAUAAUUCCUACACCACUUUAGGGCAUUUGAUUUUGAUUUUUAUUUAUAGAAAUCAAUUAACAUUCUCAUAAUCAAUUAACAUUUUCAUAAGGGGUUUGGUCCAAGAGAUAAAAUAUUGUUUCCCUCAAAAUCAAUAUUUCGGGUUGAAAUUCCCGAAUGCCAUAAGUUAGGUUUUUCAUUGAUGCGCCUAUAAUUUUUUUCUCUGAGCUGAUCACUCACGGGAUAACUAGUCUAUCAAGUGAAGUCAUUAAGGAAUCUAAACACAAUAGACUUGAGAAUUCGACCAAGAAUCGACUGCUCAACCGUGCUAAUCUACGAGGGUCAUUAUGGCACCGUCAAAAUCGAUCAGAGAUCGAAAAUGGGUCGAUUUGACAAAGGUAUGUGAUUAGUGUGUGGGUGAUUCCACCUAAUUGCAAAUUUUUUGUCGAACGGCACUAAACCGAUUUUUCUGUCAUUUUUUUACCUUGUGUACGUAUUUGAAACCUCGAGAUUCUCAUGACAACUGAGAGUCACCAAUGUGUCAAAGAUGUUCAAUGGGACUCGAAAAUAAUCGAUCACGGGUCAAAUGCGUUAAAAAUUUCUAAAAGCUACUCGGUGGGAUAGGUCAUGCUAAAAUCGCGUCAGAUUGAAAUUAACCACGAAAUUAAACCCGAUUUCAGAAAUUGAAAGUUUUGUCAUGUCACGAUUUAUUUAGGAAUGUUGACUCAUCCUCCAAAGAAUUUUCGGCAAGCUCAGGAUUUUUACGAAAAAUCAAUUCAAACGAUUCGGAAAAGAAAGGAAAUUCGAAUAGGCCAAAUUGAGUAGAUGUUUGGCCUUCUUAGUGAGCUAUUUGGUGAAGGAAAAUUGUGGAAAUUUUGUGGGCUUCUUCCUUAACAAAAUUGGACAUCAAAUUGGGGAAAUUGGUGAAGAAAUUGAAGUCCAAAGUGAGGAAAUUCAGAGGCUUGGUGUGGGGGCUACAACAUUUGGCUUCAACUUGGUUAUUUGUGGAAAUUAUAUGCAAGAAAGUAAUGGGGGACCAUGAGGAUAAGCAUGAAGAUUUCUUGGACCUUGUAUUAAUGAAUUUUAGAUAUUUUCAUUUGACUUUCUUCUCUCUCUCUCUUUCCUCCCCCCUUCUCUUCUUCGUGCGCCCGCUUCUUCCUUCAAAGCAGCCCACCACCACAUUGUUUCUCUCUCCCCCCAACAGUGACCAAAUCCCCUAUGCAUGCCCAUGCUCAUGAACUCCUGCCUCCUCCAUUUUUCUGCCUUUCGUCGUCAUGUCCGAGUCAACUAGCGAAACAAUUCCCCCAGUGUCAACCCCUCUCUUUGCAUGUUCCCUCCAUCGAAGCAGCCCACGAUCACCUCUCUCCUUCGUCCGCCCAUCUCCAGCAUUUCACCCCAUCAUCACCCCCUGUCCUGCUGCGUGCCAGCUCCAUUUCCAUGCCCCAACCCCAACUUCGUCUAGAUAGCCCCACCAGUCAACUCUAGCGGUCAGUUGACCGCAUGCCUUCAUGCCAACGAAGCCCAUCGUUUGCCCAUCUUCUCCAACAAAUCUCUCUCUCUCUCUCUCUCGCUGCCCCUUCACCCAACGAUUCAGCCCCCAUAAAACUUCACGUUGACGCCAGCAACUCCUUCCCAUUUUUCUUUGUUCGGCCAACGUUUCAUUCGCACCUCAGCCGAGCCCAACUGCAAGCCACCAAAGCCAGCUCAGCCCAAAGCCAACAUUCGAUCGAGUAGCAAGCAGUGGGCUUGCUAGGCUUUUUCAACCCAAUUUGAGCUCCUGUUAGCAUCGAAGUAAGCCCAAGUUUUGGCCAUCAUCACGCCGCCGUCGCCAUGAACCGGUUUUCACGCUAAACCGGUCAAUUUAUGCACUAAACUCUAAUUAGGAUGUUAAUGACGCUUAAGGGGUGUUUAGAUUAAAGUAAGAUUAGAUUAGUGUAGUUAUUAGCUUUUUUUAGUUAAGUUAGGUUAGUAAAAUAGUAAAUUAGGUGGUUAGAAAUUUUAGUUAGAUAGUUUAUUAUGUAGCCUUGAAGUUAGAAUGGUUAGUAUAAUUUUAUAAGUCCAAUAGGUGGUUAGAUUAGCAAUUUUUAGCCUAAGUUGGUAUUUAUUGAAUUAAUAUGUAUGUAUUUAAAUAAUUUUGAAAAUUAUUUGAAUAUUUAAUGUUUUCCGAAAAUUAGACCAGAAUAGUUGGUGACUGGAAUUUCGUAUUAAUUGCAAUGGUGUGUUCAAUUUAUGCAAUUGGGUGUUAUUUUGUGCAAAUUGAGUGCUGAUUGGAAUUUUGGUUAUUUAUCCCAAAAUUUGUAAAUUUCAAUAUUUAUUCAGAAAAUCCCAAGUGUCGGGUUUUGACAUCGAAAAUGAUUUUAUAUAUUAUAUGAAAUAGUGAAAUUUUAAAAGAAAGGGUAUCACUUUUUAAAGUCCGAUCUGACCGUGUACCCACACAUGAUUAUUUUCACCGGGUGUUUUUAAUACGAAGAAAAUUGGUCAAGUGCAUUAUCUUAAUUGAGACAUUUGUGUGCAAUGCCCGGUGUCCUUGGCCUUAUUUGAGUGAUCGUGUGUUGGUUAAGAGAAAUCAUCCUGGGUUGUUAAGUUGAACGUUACCCAAAUAUGGGACACCCUUAGACAAUAGAAGCUGGUCGUAGUAUAUUCUAGACCUAUGCUCCUUUGGGAAAGCUGUCUAGGAAAGACAUAACCGUGCUCAAUGGGGUGAAAUGACGUCUGGCUAUGCUAGAAGAUCGCCAAAUAGCAAAUAGGCCAUGCUAUAAGCCGAGAUCAAAACUAAGGACGCAUGACUAAUUGAGUUGAACACGCUGGAUUAUGGGACAAAAUUGUGUGGCAUGGUAUUGGAUGUGUCAUAACAAUUUGGUCCUAUAAUCAAGACCCUUGUGUUUGGUUUAAAUUGAGUGUGGCGUACCAGUUGAUGAGCUUAUUUAAUGCUCAUGUUUUUGUGGUUGUCUAUGAUAUGAAUUGUGCUGACAUGCAGGGAUGAUCUAAGACAAUGUAAGUCUCUAUGGUUGUGUGAUUGUGUGGUUAGGACUCCUCUAGGCGUAUUACCCUCCUAACCGGGAUUUAGAGCGUGAACUUGCUAAGAUUUAUAUCUCACCCCAUUGUGAACUUCAACUUUUCAGGAUCGUACGAUGGAAGACCUGGAGCCGAGCUGAGGGGAUCUGAGGUGUAGGUCAAAUAGGACAGCUUCUUUUGAGAGCAGGCUUUUUUGUAGGCUUUUAGGUGUUGACUUUUGUAUAUAACUCAAUUCGUAUAUAAAAGCAUGCUUUGUUUGUGAAUCUAUUUCCUACUUUUCUAUCCCAAGCUGAUGAUGCCAAGGGAGUUAUUAUUCACUUUCGAAUGCGCAAUAGAAUGAAUGGAUCAAUGAUGCGUCUUGGAACGUUGCAAAUUUUAUCGACCACCGAGGGAUGAGUACGCACUCGAAGAUCGAGGCGUGACAUGAAAGGUUUCAAAUUGCAAUUGUCCGUAAAGUCAAACAAUCUAAGCGGCCUCCUCAACACAUGAGAGAGGAGAAGCAAGAAACUCUCCCUUCUACGACACUCCGUCGCAAGGUACCAAGCCAGAAACAAUGCUUUUCUUCUUCUUGCUCUUCCUCACCACCACCAGCACUCAUUCCCCAUCGGUCCAUCCUCAACCACUCCCUCCAAGCCCAUGUCAAAGUCCACGUCCCAAAAGCAUAUUCCUCCUCGUUGGGCAGAGUAACAUGGCGGGAUGGGGCGGCGUUGACCCAUCCAUAGGGUGGGAUGGUGUCGUCCCUCCCGAGUGCAGCCGCAACCCAUCCAUCCUCUGACUCACGAUGAACCUCAAAUGGGUCGAGGCACAGGAGCCACUCCACAUAGACAUUGACACGACUGCAAUAAAUGGGAUCGGCCUUGGUAUGGCCUUCGCCAACGCUGUCAUGAGACAAGAUCGGAAUCUAGGCUUGGUGGGUUUGGUGCUGUGUGCAAUCGGCAGGAUGAAAAUAAGCCAAUGGGAGAGAGGGACGUUUUUGUACAACCAGUUUAUGAGGCGAGCGCGAGCUGGGACGAAUGACGGGGGGACAAUCAAAGCUUUUUUUACAGUAAAACAAUUUUUCUCUUCUAUGUUUAAUUCUUUUUACAAGAAUAUAACCAUGCAUAUAUACAUCGACGUAACCAUCCUAGAAUCUCCUACAAAUCUGGAGAUCUCCUAUAAAUCACUACAAACCAGGAGAUCUCCUACAAAUCAGAAGAUACAUAUGUAUAUAUAAAGACUUAAAUAGAAAAACUCUCCUAUUGGGGCCCUAAUUGACAGCUCAUGUUAACACUCUCCUUAAGCUAGUGAGAAAAUAUCUUUGAUACCCAACUUGACAAGUGAGCUGUGGAAAGCUCGACUCGAUACAACCUUUAUAAGUAUGUCUGCCAAUUGGUCUUCAAAUUUGAUAAAUGAAAAACUUACCACCAUAUCAUCCAGAUUUUGCUUGAUAAAAUGCCUAUCAACUUCAACAUGUUUAGUGCGGUCAUGUUGAACUAGGUUGUGGGAAAUCUGAAUUGCGGCCUUAUUAUCACAAAACAAUUGCAUUCCUGACUUAGGUGGAAAACCAAGUUCUGUCAACAACUUCUUUAGCCACAAAAGCUCAAAUAGUCCUUUAGCCAUCCCCCAAAACUCAGCUUCAACACUUGACAAAGCUACUACUUUUUGUUUCCUGCUCCUCCAUGUAACCAAGUUUCCUCCCACAAAUGUGAAGUAGCCUAAUGUCGAUCUCCUAUCCGAGGUAUUGCCAGCCCAAUCAGCAUCUGUAAAUCCUUCCACCUCAUGGUGAUUAUUCUUCGCAAAGAUAAGUCCUUUCCCUGGUGCUAACUUCAAGUAACGUAAGAUCCAAACUACAGCAUUCAUAUGAUCUUCACUAGGAGCAUGCAUAAAUUGACUUACAACUCCUACAGCAUAUGCAAUGUCAGGCCGAGUGUGCGAUAGAUAAAUUAAUCUCCCUACCAAUCUUUGAUAUCCGUCAUUAUUGGUCGAUACCUGAUUAGGGAAAACUCCAAGUUUAUGAUUUUGUACUAUAGGGGUAUCAGCAGGUUUGCAAUCCAACAUCCCCACCUCAGCCAACAAGUCCAACACAUACUUUCGUUGAGAUAAGACUAUACCUUCUUUUGAUCUAGCCACUUCAAUACCCAAAAAAUAUUUCAGGCCCCCCAAGUUCUUCAUCUCGAACUCAUUUGCUAGUUUCCUUUGAAGUUCUGCGAUCUCCUCAAGGUCAUCCCCUGUGAUGAUCAUGUCAUCUACGUAUAUAAUCAAUGUUGUCACUUUGUCAUGUUGCCGUUUCAGGAACAACGUAUGGUCCGAAUUACUUUGAGUGUACCCAUACCUUUUUAUUGCAGAGCUAAAGUGACCAAACCAAGCCUGUGGUGAUUGCUUUAAUCCGUACAACGACCGCUCGAGUUUACAUACCACUUCCAAUUUAUCAGCACACGCAUAUCCGGGUGGGAUUUCCAGGUAAAUCUCUUCUUCCAAAUCUCCAUGUAAGAACGCAUUCUUUACAUCAAAUUGAUGUAAGGGCCAGUCCAAAUUUGCUGCAAAUGAUAACAAUACCCACACAAUGUUUAGUUUGCAACUGGAGAGAAUGUUUCAUGGUAGUCCACGCCAUAGGUCUGGGUAUAUCAUUUUGCUACUAGACGUGCCUUGUACCUCUCAACAAAACCAUCUACUUUAUAUUUGAUGGUGAAUACCCAUUUAUAUCCUACUGCCUUUUUUCCCUUCAGUAACUCGACAAGUCUCCAAGUCUUAUUUUUCUGUAAAGCCUCCAUCUCUUCUUGCAUUGCUUGAACCCACUUAGGAUCCCUCAAUGCCUCCUUUACUUCACUAGGAACUCUACUUGUAGAGACAUUCGAGACAAAUUCCUUUAAAGGUCCCGACAACUGCUUUGUCGAAACAUAAUUAGUAAUCGGAUACUUCAACCUUCGUUCUUCCACAUCUGGUGAGUACCUAUUAGGAGCCUUGCCACGAUUAUGUCUAUCAUGCAAUUUAUAACAAAUAGCUACAUCAGUAUCAACAAACAAAUUAUGUGUGGUAGAAGAACUUACCUUAGGAGUAUCCUCAGGAGAAUUGUCAGGUACUAAAGAGGGGGUAUUUUGAAGUGAAGGGAGCUGUUCUUGAGAUUGUUUGUGUGUCUCUUGCACCAAAUCAACCUGAUGAUCAAAUUCCUUAGUGUGCUACUACUCAUUUUCCAUUGUCCCACCAUGAUCUGUGACCACACCAUUGCUAGCCAACGCUACCUGCUGCAGCAUGUGAACCUGCUUGUCAACUUGCACCUUAGCUUGUGUGUUACCAGUCCUUGUGUCACCAGGUGUUGGCACUGCGGGGUCAUUUUUUUUAAAAGCAAAAUCAGCCACAACCCCUGCCAUCACACCACCUUCCCACCAAUUUGUCCUUUCACUAGAGGUCUCCCCCUGAAUGGUACAAUUGGGUGUGGGAAAAAAUAAUUCGGACUCGAUGAAGGUGACAUCCAUUGUGAUGUGGGUUUUCUUGGUAGCCGGAUUGUAAUAGCGGUAUCCUUUCUGAUGAGUGCUAUAACCAAUGAAAACACACUUCACCGCACACGGAUCGAGUUUUGUCCGUUGGUUCUUGUGGAGAUGGACGUAUGCCACACACCCAAACACUUUGGGAGGUAGUGUCAUGAUGGAAGGAAGAGGAACAUAGGAUGCAAGUGCUUAAAGUGGGGUCUGAAAGUUCAACACACGAGAGGGCAUUCUAUUCAUCAAAUGUACCGUUGUAACCACGGCGGCAUCCCAAAAACGAGAUGGAACCAAACCACCUAUGAGGAGUGCCCAUGCCAUCUCGAGGAUAUGGUGGUUCUUCCUCUUAGUGAUACCAUUCUGUUGGGGCGUCCUAGUGCAAGACAUUUCAUGUAUAAGCCCGUGGUCCUGAAAGUAAACUGCAAUAUGCUGGUUAAUAUAUUCCCCACCAUUGUCGCUACGAAGGACUUGAAUUUGAGUCCCAAACUAUGUUGCAAUCAUCCAAUGAAGCAUAUGGAAUAUUGUUGCCACUUCAUCCUUAUGCUUCAUUAAAUAAACCCAAGGCAUCCGGGUACAAUCAUCCACAAAUGUUACAAACCAACAAAUCCCAGAUAGAGUAGUAAGCGGUGAAGCGCCCCACACGUCCGAAUGAACCAAAGAAAACGGCCUAAUGCUUUUAUUAAAACUCAAAGGAAAAGAGGCACGAUGACUUUUUGCCAAAAUACAUGUCUCACAUUGGAAUUCAGUAUCUGACAAAUUAUGAAACAAGUCUGGAAAUAAAUGUUUUAAAUACCCAAAAGACGGGUGUCCUAAACGAUGAUGCCAUAACCAAAUCGCUUUCUCUUUAUUAGUAGACCCGCUCCUUGUGCAAUGUGCUCGGCCUGCACGAAAGUUAUCAACAUAGUACAGCCCCCCCUUUUAGUACCACGACCAAUAAUCUCCUUCGUGAGGAUAUCCUGAAAUAAGCAAAAAGAUGGAUACAUAAGAACAUAACACUUCAAAGCAUCAGUGAAUUGGCCAACAGAGAGUAAUCGGUUAGAUAGAGAGGGCACUAAUAAAGUGUGAAACAAUGAUAAAGAAGGUGUAAGAUCAACAUUGCCAGCCCCAGUGACAGGAUAACUAGUGCCAUUCGCAUUAUAGAUACUCUGUCUCCUCGGAGUGGUGUAGCAUAUAAUAUUGUUACGAUUGGGUCAUGUGAUCCAUUGCCCCAAAAUCAACAAUCCACCCCUCCCUGCCACAUUGAGAAUUACUAACAAGUGCACACCUAGUGUUACCUUCAGGAGCCACAUCAGAAGUAUUGGUAGCGUCUACCUGUGGUACCAAGGAAAGGGGUGAGGUCCCAGUAGCCAAUGAUGCAUGCCCCCGUCCUAUAGCAUUUUCUGUCUUUUUCUUGUUCUGCAACUCCUUCCACCAAUCCGGAUAACUGUGCAAUUUAAAACAUGUAUCUUUUGUAUGUUUAGUAUUACCACAAUGAGUACAACCUCCUGGAUGUUGUGGUUUAGCCUUCGAACCUUUGUUAGUCCUCCCUCCACCAGACGCAGUAUUAGGAGGGACCAUUUGGAGAGCUUUGGACUCAUUGUUGGCCUUGAGAAAGUGUGAGAUAACAUUUCCACCACGCGACACCAGAGUUGCCGCGGUGCUAGAUGGUUCAAUUGAAGAUAACAUAAUAGCUUGGCGUACAUCCUCUCGCCUCACCCUAGCGUGCGCUUGCUCCACCGUCAAGAAGGGAUGCAUCUAUAGAACAUUAGCCCUGACUUUAUUAAGACGAUCAUCAAGCCCGUCAAGGAAAUGAUAUACACAGUCUUCUUGCACAAGAGCGUUGUAGCGCUCGAUAUCACGAGCACAAGUCAUGAGAUUAGGCCGUCGAAAAUCAACCUCCCGCCAUAAACCCCGAAGAUCAUUAUAAUACUUUUCAGUCGGGCCGCUUGCCUGCUUCAGUCGAAACAAACAUCAGUUUAGAUCAUACACUUGGGAGACAUUGGUGCCAUCAAUGAACACAGUAGCCACCGAAUCCAAUACUGCCUUUGCUGUUGGGAAACAGAUAAAAUUCCUAAUCAACGCCGAGUCCAUGGAAUUGAUGAGCCAUCCUUUAACUGUACUGUCGUCAGUCUUCCAGUUUCGAAAAUUAGGGUCGAUCAGAAGUGGGGGUGGAAAAUCCCCAUUGAUAUAUCCCAAUUUGUCUUUCCCGGAGAUAUACAUCUCAACAACUUGGGACCAAAGGCCAUAAUUACAACCAUCCAACUUGACUGCAAUUGGUGGGGCAGAGUUUUCAGCAUGAGAAGGUGGGGCUUGAUGGUGAGUCAAGAUUUGUGUUAACUUGGACGUCAAGGUUUCGAGGAGUGCAUCAGUAGUGGAAGUCCCUCCUAGAGCCUAAUGCGAGACUACAGUGCCUUCCGCUGGAGCUGGAGGAACUAUCUCAAUGGGUGGCUUGUCAUCCACCAUGAAUCCUGAUAAAGGAUGGAGUCAGUGUGGCAAUCCGCACAAAACCACCGCCCGGCUACGCCACAGCAAGGAAUUCGGAUCGUGAUAAGAACACAGAGUCCCUAGAUCAUUUGCUCUGAUACCAUGUUGAACAGUAAAACAAUUCUUCUCUUCUGUGUUCAAUUCUUUUUACAAGAAUAUAACCACGCAUAUAUACACUAACGUAACCAUCCUAGAAUCUCCUACAAAUUUGGAGAUCUCCUAUAAAUCACUACAAAUCAGAAAAUACAUAUGUAUAUAUAAAGACCUUAAAUAGAAAAACUCUCCUAUUAAGGCCCUAUUUGACAGCUCAUGUUAACACUCUUGUGGUACCAAGGAGAGGGCAACACGUGGAGGAAAGCGACGCGGUGCAGUACAAAGUGAGGCUGGAGAAGUUCUUUACGGAUGUGAGGACUGAUCUGCAGUCGCCUAAGCUACCAAUUUUCCAGGUGAUUAAAUUUCUCUUUUAUGCUUCAUUUCGGAAUCAAUUGCAUCUUUCACUUUAGAUUGUUCAAACAAAUUAUGAUAAAAUUAUAAAUGAAAGUUGCUAUUUAAAUUAAGCAAAUGGCGAUCAUCUUGAUGUGGUACAUUCUUAGUCUAUUUUUAUUCGAGACCAGACAAAUAAUACUUAGAUAUGCAUUUUGAUAGUAAUGGCUUGCAAAAGGGUCCGUGGGAGUCAAUGUGAUGUGUUUCUUUUCUGCAGCUUUUUAAAUAAAGAUGAAUAAUAACAAGAAAUGGCCCAUAUACGGUAGAAACCUAGGAUUUUCUACGGGGUUGGGGCGUUCACCUUAGGUCCCCGAGCGGCUUUUCCUCUAAAAUAAGUUCAUAAUAAUCGGAAUUCGGCCACCCAUCUCAUUAGAUUGAUGAACCGGACAUCAAGAAAUAGUGAUAUUCACACUAACCUCUUGAAAAUAAAAAUGUACAUUUUAAUGCGAUUUUUUUAAAUUUGCUUCAAUGGAUUACAUUUUAUUACUUAAUUGCAUGUUUGCUCUGCGUUUCGGAGCAGGUGGCUAUCGCAUCAGGACAGCGAAAUUUCAUCGACGCGGUGAGAAAGGUCCAGCUCGGGCUUGACCUUCCGAACGUGAGAACCGUCGACGCCUUGGGGCUGCCUCUCAAACCCGACCAGCUCCAUCUAACCACCCCAGCCGAGGUCCGGCUUGGCCAGAUUCUGGCCGACGCUUUCCUUCAGGCUGUGUUAUCGACAAAAGACAGCUCCUCUUCUGUGUAAUUUCUGUACUAGUUAACAUGACAAGGUAAUAGUCUUUGGAUGGACAAAGCCAGGAAAGAUCAAUUAGUAUGCACCUUUUUUAUAUCUGCUUUUUACUUGCAAAUUUGGAAUGGUCAUUUAGUAUGUGUUGCUUGGAAAAAUCAUUCAGCAACGAGCAGUAUUACUCUCUUGUUCAAAUACACGUUUGGUGCGAAUAUAAAUAUACCGGUUGUUAUAAUACGUCGCAAGUUUGAGCCCACGAACGAAGUCCAAUCCGAGAUAAGUUACUAUUUGAGGACGUUGAAACAUGUGCCUUAGAAAUCCAUAUUAUUCGUCCAGUGUUAGAGUCCGAGUUGGAUUAUUUAUGUGGAUAUCGAAAAUAUCGAGGAAAGGAAGAUAGUGCAUCUUGCUAUUAGGAUUUGGACGCAACCAAAAGAAAAAUAAAGAAAAUAAAAGAAAGAAAAGAAUGGCUGGACUUUGCUUCUUAAUCUUAGCCGGCAAAGUCAAAGAAAGAUACGGAUUUAUUCCGUGCAGAAUUAGAUUGGGUUCUUAGGGCAAGAUAUAUAUAUAUAACUAAGAUGUGCUCGUGGCUGUGGGUUUUCUAAGGUGGUAACUAAAGAUGUGCUCGUGGCUGUGGGUUUUCUAAGGUGGUCACAAAGAAAUACUGAAGCACCGUUUCCAAGUAAAUGCCUGACAUUAGGGAUGAUCGGUUCCCGACCUGAUCCAAUUCCAUUUAGGAACUAGGAACCAAACCAAGAGGACCGGUUCCUAUUUUUUGGGAUCGAGAACUGGACCAAACGGUCCUAGGACUGGGAACCAAACUGAGCCGACCAGUCUGGUCCGGUUCAGUCCAAUGGAACCAACCACUAGGCAAAAAAAAAAAAAAUUAGUAACUUUUAAAAAUACUAAAGUUAUUCAAAUUUUAUGGUUUAUUGUUAUUUUAAGAAAUUAAUAUAUAUAUAUAUUUUAAAAAGAGUUAGUUCAGUCUAUCGAUCAGGUCCGGUCCGAUUCUCCCUUGGAUUCAGAAACUGACCCGCAAAUCAGCGAUUUCAAUUUUAUGGAACUAGGAAUUAAACUGACGGAACCUUACCAAAUUGGCUAGUCUAGUCCAGUCCUAACGGUUUCUGGUCCGAGCAGUCCGAUAUGCUCACCCCUACUUGACAAUUGACAUGCAUUAUUUCGUAGGCAUUGCCUGUGAAUUACAUUCAAGAAGAUUUAGUAUUCAAGCAGAUUAAAUUUUGUGAGUUCAAGAUUUGUUAAUUCUUUCAUAAUAUUGAAAGAUUAUUUCGCAAGGAAUUGUGAAGUAAAGCACUACAUGGGUUAUUGGGUCUAAUUGGGGUUUGAGAAAUACUGAGAAUAUUUGAGUGAUUCGAGUGUGAUUGUAAUCAUUGUUAUGUCGCUUGAUCUAAAGUGAAAUUCAUCGCUACUCUCCCCAUGGACGGAGGUCACUAUGGCCGAACCAUGUAAAUUUAGUAUGCGAUUUAUUUUCUUGUUAUGUUUAUUUUAUUAUUUAAUCAUUUGCUUUUUGCAACAGCGGUCCUUGUGCAUUCACUAGCUAAAGACAGUACUAAGAACAGAGAUUUGUGUGGAGUCAAUACUUAUGGUCAUGGCAGGUGAAUUACACCGGCAGACAGUAUGAUUACACAAGCAACUUGUGCAGAGAAGUGUCAAGCUAGAACUAGAAGUGCAUAUGACGCACGUUAUAGUCGACUUCUCUUAGAAGUAUCCAAUAUAGUCGUGCUCCACGGUUUAUUAUCCAAUGGCAAGAUGCUCGUGCGUUCGCAAGAAAAAUAAUAUGCAUAAAAAUAUAACAAAAUACACGUUCACAUCAAUCAAAUUCUUCAUCAGAGUUUAUGCGGAAUGUCAUUUAAAGUAGAUCUGAAUUCCAUCAUUUAGAUUUAUACUCCAAUUAAAAGAAAACAUGAGACAUAAAAUUGCAACACUUAUCGAAUUAUAAAAUAAGUAAAGGAAUGUUUGGAGCACAUAAUACAAUAUAAACAACUAAGAAACAUAUAAAGCAGAAAACAUGGUUUUCCUCCGAUUAUUGGAUUAUGUGCUUUGUGUCAUUGACUUGGUUUGGGCAACGAGAUUCCGACACCGAGGUGUUGGCUAGGUCUCAAUGGACUUGCCCUGGCAUUGCAGACCCGAUCCUAGGCGGCGAGGUCCUGGGUCUGACCUUGAUAGACCUAGGUGCGGGCUUCAAGGAUUGGGGCCCAACCUCGAUGGACUUGAGCACAAAAGUCAGGUCAAGCUCCCAAUCUCAACCUCAAUGGACUCAGGCGCAAGCAUCAAACACUUGGCCUAGGCCUCGAUGGACCGAGGACCGAGCGUCAAGGAUCAAAGUUAGGCCUCGAUGGACUUGGGCAUGGGCAGGCACAAAGAUCCCUGGCCCAACCUAGAUGGACCUAGAUCCAAACACAAGGGACCGGGGUACCAGAGAUCGUUGAUGAACCUGGAUGUGGGCACCAGUAUUGGAAUUUGAGGCCCAGCCUCAAUUGAACCAAGCUUGAUAGUCAGGGUCAAGGCUCAGUCUCGAUAAGCCCAAGCUUGGGCAUCAAGGACUUAGGACGAGCCUCUGUAGACCUGGGCCGAGGCCCUAGAGAACCAAGCACAGGGAUUGGGUUCUUGGGCUGAGUUUCGGCAAACCUAAAGACCAAUGCCUGUGCUCAUGCCCAGGAGUUAGGGAUUCGAGCUUGAGACCCAUGCCCAUGUUGGGUUCCUUAACUACCCAUGCAAAAAUCACUAGCAUUCGAAAUAGUUUAUAUCUAUUUAGGAAAAAGAUAUUUCUUACCAAAUAACAGAAAAUAUUUUCUAGUUCAUUUUUUGAUCUCAGUCAAAUAUCAGAAAAUUAUGUUAUCUUCUUGAAAAAUGAUUUCUAGAAAAAAAUUUCCCAAAAUUUCACGUUUCAACGGAACAAAUAAAGCCAAAGUGAGGAAAAAAAAAACCACGAACAGACCAACCUUUAAUUUACUUGGUAAAAUUCUCACAAAAUGACCAGGUUACCCCUAAAUUGUAAUUUAUAGAAGUGUGCCACGACUCAAUUCGAUGAACUAGACGCGACCAAUCAUAUGAAUGACUUUAAUUAUCCAAUGCAAAAAAAAAAAAAAAAAAAUGCAAUGGUUUCAUGAAACCAAUAUUUUUGAUAGGGACUAUAAAUCCCAAUUGUCUGUGCUUUUCCUUUCUUCUUGUUCUAUUUAAAAAAAAAAAAUUUGAAUAAAAUUUGAGAUAAGUGCAUUGAAAGUUCUAAAACCCGUCGCGAAAUUACAAUUGAAUACUAAAACUUUCAAAAAGUAUAUUUAAGUUUUAAAUUUAUCAAGAAAAUGCAAUCAAAUCAGAAAACUUGUCACAAAAAUACAAUCGAAUUCUAAUUUAUUUUUUUUAAAUGCAAUCAAUAGAAGGAUUUAAUGGGACCAACUUGACAAGUUUGAAGACUCAAUUGCACUUUUAGAAAGUUUUAAGACUCGGUUGCAUAUUUGUGACAAUUUUUUGGACUUAAAUGCAUUUUUGUAACAAGUUUUAGAAUUUUCAAUGUACUUAUCCCAGAAAAUUUAGGUGUCAACCGCCAAGAUAUCAGACACAUUUGUGGCUUAUCACCCGCAAGAGGUUGCCGACCCAGGUUCUGCUUGCUUCGGUUGGUAGGCUCUCUUCAGUUACUUGUCCCUUCUAUUCAUGCAGGCCGGAUUCAGUAGAUCAUUUAUUUUUUGCUUGUCAUGUCCCUGGCAAUCUCGCCGCCUAUUGGGCAGCUAAAUUUAAUAUAUCUUGGCGCAACAAAUCGUGGCUUGAGAACUUGGACUAGGCGGCUAGACACUUCUCGGACAAAAACUUCUAUGAUGUGUUGGCCUGGUUUAGUUAUGGAGCUCUUUGUUAUAUUAUUUGGAAGAAGCGUAACAAUAUCAUCUUCCGCAAUCAGACUCUGUUCAUCCCGGCGAUGAAGAUGCAUCUCCAGAAGGCCGUUAAGGAUAAAUCGUCGACCCUGAAGAAUGUUGUGGAUAAUCCUAAGAACAUAAGGCUGCAACGAAGCUGGGGCUUGAGUCCGUCAAUCUUUCACUGAUGGGGGGUUUUUAGUUUUGGCUUGGUCUUUUGUUUCUUAGGUCUGUUUGUCUUUUGGUCCUUGGCACCCUUACACUCUCCCGCGAAUUUGGUCCUUUUGAGUGUUCGUUUUGGUGGUGCCAGGCUUUUCUUGUAUUUUGUGCAAUUUCUUAUCAAUACAAAUCUUACCUUUACCCAAAAAAAAAAAAAAUUAGGUGUCAACGGUCCUAAAACUUGAAAUGGUAACACUUGGCCUCACCAAUACAUUCUUGAUAUGAAAUAAAUCUUCGACUGUUGACACCUAAAUUUUGGCAAUCUAGUUAUUUAUUUAUUGCAUAGAAAAUUAGGGAUUAAUUUUAUACCUAAAAAAAUAUUAAUUGCAUAGCAUAUAGAUGUAGGUGCACUUAUUUUUAAUUUACAUGUUUUGCAUUUAUUUUUUGGACCAGUACGGGUGGAUUUGAAUUAGUGGUUCUAAUCUUUAAAUUGACAGGCCGGACUAAGCCCAUGAAACGAGCAAAUUGGCCCAAGCUUUUUUUUAGUAAUCGGAAAUUAUCUCGUGAGAAAAUAAGAAUUUGAAAUUUUCCGGGAUAUGAUGAAUUUUUUGGAUAGGGCAGAUGUAAAAAGUGAAUAUUGCAUUUGGAAAAAAAGAAUCUUCGUGGAUAUCAAUUUGGAAAAAUUAAAACCCUAAUCUGAGGCUUAUAAAUAGAUUAGUUGUAUAGGGUUUUCGGGGGGGCCACACAGUAGAAAGAUACGGCCACAUUGGGGGGUUUUCUCUCGAUUGUCAGAAGAAAGAAAAAAUCGAGCACAGGGAAAGAUAGAGGUCCUUCGGUUUUUAAGGUUUAUGGGAGGAGAAGGUCUUGACUUUUUCCUUUUGCAAAUUUAGUGCUGCAGAAAGUACGAAGGGAGUAGAGAGAGACCGGGAGUGGGACGUGAGAUACGCAAGAAGAGAGAGAGGGAAAAUUGACCAAAAAAAAAAAAAAGAGAAAAGAAGAAGAACGAUGUUCAUCUUCUCCGACGUGCUAACUGCCAUUUGCCUGAGCUUCAACCGUUGCUCGCCAGACGCCGUCGUCUUGCCACACAGGAGCCACCCAACUCUUGCUCUGUCCUGUCUUGCCAGAAACCACGACCCACCGCCCCAGCAAUGAUGCCCCGGCUCCGCCUCUACCCUGUUGCCGUCGGAGCACCGUUUGCUCAUGCCUAGAGCCUGACCCAAGCCGGAUCGCAGCCCCUCCGCUCCUGACGACACCAGUGCUAAUCUUGCUUUGUUCGCGUCUACUGCCCUCCACUCAGCUCUGCUCCGUGCCUCUGUUUAGGCUCGAAGCCGGUCGCUGCACCUCCUCACUCAAGCGACCACCCAAGUCGCUUCCAUCGCGCCAGAUUUGGGCGCCAAGCGGUAUGUCCGUCUAACAUCUCAGCCUUGCCACCGUCGCAGCUCCACCCGACAACCCGCAACCCUCUAUUUCGACUCGACUCCAGCAGAACCGCAUGACCUAACUCUAGCCCAAAGCUCCGCUAGCUACCGUCGCGCUCACUGUCUGCAACCAGCGGGCCAUCCCGUCCUUGAAGCCCAGCAGUGACACCGCCUCCGUUUGAUCUCAUCAUGCCUCACCUGCCCGCUGCGACACCAGCAACUUGCGAAGCUACCACUGUGUCACCGUCGUGACCCACUUGCUUGCAAGUCCAAUCUAUUGUCUCUGGUCCGACAUCAUCAUCCCUCUAUAGCAGAGCUUGAGCCUUCCGUUCAUUACUACUUCUCGCCGGUGCCUUCCCCCUGCCGGAGCUCCGACUGGUGUUGCCCCCUUGGUUGAUUGGGCUGCUAAGCCAUAUUUGGAAGGAAAAAGCGGAAAAAAAGAGAAAGAUUAAUUUAGGUAGUUUUAUUUUAUUUAUUUUUUUAUUUAUUUUUUUAGUAUAAUUGUUCCUUAAUGUAAGAUUGAAGCUCCCAACAUGAAAUUGCCUUAAAGAUUUGGGAUUAACAGUCCGAUUUUCGCACUCGAAAUCCGACUAGCAAUCGCAAUCGCUUGAAACAUCGUCAAUCCGAUCUCCUGCUCAAGAUUCAAUUCGCGAUUUAUUUAAAAAUUGGCCAACCCAAUCUCAUGCGCGAGAUAUGGUUUGUCAAUUUGUGGAUAUCGAUCCUAUCUUAUUUGAUUUGCUGUCAUGUUGGUUGAAUCAAUUUUAUUUUGUUAAAUAAAAAAUCCAAAAAAAUGCAUUUAGGAUGUUAGCUUUUGUUUAAUUUAAGUUGCAUAAUAAUUAUGUGUCGAUUUUAAAUUUUGAAACAAAAAAAAAAACAUAAAAAAUCAUCAUGCAUAUGUCAUAUAGAUUAUGGCAUCUUUUGUACGUCAUUGCAUAUUAGGAUAAAAUUGCAUGUUUCAUUUUAAGUUUAGAUUAAUUUUUUUAGAUAGAUUGCAUCUUAAGUUAGAUACUACUAAGUUAAGAUAAUAUCUUAGUUUAAAUUAGGGUUUAGCCUGACCUAAUCCUUAAUAUAAGUUAGAUAGAAUCUUAAUCUAGCUAGUUAAUUUUCACAUUUUUCUAAUUUCGAAUUUCAUGGAAAAUACCAAAAAUUGCCCUAGAAUAAAUCAAUUUCAUUCAUUAGGAGAGAUUGCAUUUUAUUUACGUCAUAUAGUUAGGUCAUGUUGCCAUGUCAUGUCAUUUCAUGUUAGAUUAGUAGCGUGCAUUGCAUAAAACAUGAUUCUCAUUAAUUAAGUGAAAACAAAAAGAAAUUACGUGUUAAUUAGAAAUCAUAUCAAGGGUUGAUGAUAUGAAUUCUGAUCUAACAACACAAAUGAUUUUGUUGCUACGAGGUAAGUUCCUACAAUUUAUUCAUUGCUUUCCUUGGAUGUUAAGUUAGUGGUUUGCGCUUCGGCAUAAUCACCUCACAUGUUAGGUGAUUAGAUUUAAAAUCAAUUUAAGCUGCCUGCAAAAGUGUUUUUGAAAAUAAAAGAAUGGUACUAAAAGGGCGUUAGAGAAAUCUAGCAUAAUCAAGUCCCCGAACUCAUAAAUCUCUGGUUCGUAGGAGUAAAGUAAAUCUCCCGUUACUUUACUUGGGUUUCUAAUCGACCCACCAAAAAUAGAUUAGUGGCGACUCCUAGAUAAAAUCUAUUUGCAUGUUAAGAAAUUUGAACUUAAGUCGCGAAUUGGUAUGGGCUUGGGAGAGCUUGAGUUAAGUCUACGCUUAACAAUCCAUUAGCCAAACCCUAGGUGGUUUUCACUCGAAAAUUAGGUCGUGACAGCUUGGUGACUCUGCUGGGGACUUGAGUUGAAACUCUUAGUGGACUUAGGUCAAUUUCUUUUUGAAAAAAUAUUUUUGUUUGGCAGCGAGGAUCCCAGAUACGUCCCUAACAUUUAAGGUGUUAAAUGUUCUUGCAAAUUGGAAGGUGUAAGGGGAGUAAUGAUUGCUAACCCUUGUCUUACAGGUUGGAGUUUGGGGUAAAUGUUUUGAAUUCAAUUAUUGAAGUGUUGUUUGAUAUAACUAUUGUGCAUGCCUUGCAUUUAGCAUUACACUAUUGCACACACAACUCGCCGCUAGACCUGGGCCGCAUAGGAUCAUUUAGGAUGGUGUUGAGAUGGAUACCACUCCGACUGCAUGCUUGCGGUACAAGUCGCUCAUCUCAAUCCCAAAGUUUCUUCUAUAGUGUCAAGAGUACCCACCUCGGUCCGUAUGCCUACGAUCUGGGUCGGCUCUUUGACCAAGCCGGAGUCAUAAGGACCCAACAUAGUCUACAAGCCCGUGGCUAGUCUAAUCAUCCUUGUGGCUCCACCUUGAUAAGCCUUAUAGACUAGAAAUCGAAUCACUUACCAUGCGCAUGUCUAUGUGAUUGCCGUCAAUUUAUCUUGGUGAAGUAAGUCCUCUAUCCCUAUACUCAAUUUACUUACUUUGUUAUACUCUUGGUCCAUCCAUGACAAUCAUUGAUUUAAUUCAUUUGUCAAUUAGAAAUGAAAUGAGGAAAUUGCGAUGCAAUGAAUCAUUUGGAAAAUAACAAAAAAUUUUGGAGAAUUUGUUUUCAAUUUAUAUCUAGGAAAUUUGGUCUUGUUAAGGUGCCUAUCUUUAUUUUCCUAGUCCAUUUUUAGGAAAUUCCCUUCUUGUACAAAAUUUUCAUGAAUAAAUGAAAAAAAAUGGAAAAAUCAAUUAGAUCAUUGUCAUGGAUUGACUUUCGAUUUACCCUCAUUCUUACAUGUUCCCGUUCAUUUGAACUAGGUGAUUAUGGAACGAUCCUUCUCACCCAUCCGUUCACAAUCAAGAGCCAAAAUGAUGGAUCAAGAAGAGUUUAUCUCGUCAAGUAAAAGUGCUGCGAUCUAUCUUUAGUGAGAAAUUGCAACUCCAAAAAGAGAGCUAGGAAGACUUUUUGAACCGUCUCAUUUUCCUGAGGUAGCCGAAUUUGAUGCCAUCAUGAAGAGACUAGUAACCUAUCAAGGGGGAAGAAUAUAUGGGUUUGCAUCACAAGAUCAAUGAGGGUGAAGAAUUCAAGUACACAUGAUUCAUGGUCCUAAGUAGUUCAAUUUCCUCAUUUAAUUAGGGGCAUGCACAUUCCCCUGAGUGGGAAUUUUUAUCUCUUUUUAGAGAUUGAUUUCAAUUUAUUCUAUGCUUGAACAUCACAUCCCAAUAAAUUCAAUAAAAUUACAUUGAGGACAUGAUAUGGUACACCAAACCAGCUUGGUGAUGAUAUCCAACAAUAAAAGGAAAAUAUAAUUCAUAGAGAAAAUCUGAGGACUGGGCUUCUUCAUGCUUCCUCAUAAAAAAUUCCAAAAAAAAUGGGAGAAUAAAAAAAAUCAAAAAUCAUUUUUUCAAGCCAUUUCCAAAAGCAUCCAUUAGGUUAACCCUAUUUAAUUUUCUGACUCAUAUACUUCAUUUUUCAAAGCAUUACUUUCUUGUCCCGAUCUGAAAAUGGCUUAUUAGAUGACAGAUUGGGGGCAUGGUAGACUUUGGUAGUGACCCGACUGGGAUAAAAUACUGAUCCGAGCCAAAAUGGAUAUGCAAUUUGAAUUUACUUUGAUGUUGCAUAGUAUCCUAUUCAUGCACGUUCUCUUGUGUAGGGGCAAAAGCGGAUUUUCACUUUUGAUUAGUAGAGCAAUCCAAGGACAUCCAUUGCUGAGACAAUCCCUUUGUGGAGCAAUCCCUUGAAUGAAUGCUUAAAACCAUGUUUUGAGUGCAAUAAAUUGUUUGUUUUUAAGUAACAAAAGCUUUUCAUGCUUAAAGUUGCUAGAUUAUUUUGAAAAGAGAAUUUCCAUAGUGAUUUUACUUAUUUAACUCACCAAUUUCAUGUGGAGAUUUGUCAAGAUGGACUAAUUCAAUGAAUGAUGUGGAAUGGAUUAAGCAUGCUAAAUGAGAUGUGUCGGGAUGAUGAAAGGCAAGCCUUAUCCUAUACACAAUCCCCUACUUAUACACUUGUGAGAUGAGUGUAGGAAGUUCCCUAUCUGCAAGGUAAAGAGUUCUCUCGCAAAAGGUACGAUGACCGAAAUGAUGAUGGGGCAAUUCAUUUUUCUAUCACAAACACAACAGACAAUCCAUUGCUUAACCCUUUUAAGCCUCCUACACUAAUGAAGAAAUUUUUUUUAUCCCUGUCAAGAACCACCCCACAUUGGGGCAAGUUGGAGGUAAGACAGCAUCAUAAGGUGAGGAAAAUGAAUUGAAAUUUCUUGCUCUCACUUGCAUCAAUCUUUAAGUUAUGCUAUUACAUUGAAUUCAUGUGGUAAUUUAAGUGCCUUAGGAUGAUGAAAAGCAUUUUUUUUCUCUAUCAUAUACACUUAUAUCCUUUGCAUAGCCCACUUGAGCCUACAAUUUUAUUUCUUCAAACCCAGUUGAUGAUCAUCCCUCACACGGGGCAAGGCAAAAGGCAGAUGAAGACUCUUGAAAAGUUCAAGUGUCAUUCAAAGUGUAAUUGCUUGAUGCUAAGGGGCAUGAAAAAGCAGUGUGCUUGGUAAAAGCAAGGACAAUGCCCAUGAAAAAGAAAGUGAAAAAAAAAAUGAAUAAGAACUAGGGGCAUGAAAAAAGAUGUGUGCCUGGUAAAAGCAAGGCCAAUGCCCAUAGAUGAAAAAAGAGAGUCAAGAUAGUAUGAUUGUCAAUUGCAAGAAUUGAAUCCCGAUGGAGCAAUACUCAAAGAACUCAAAAGUUGAGUUUUUACAAUCAACAGAGCAUUUUAUGAAGACAAUCCCCGAUGGUGAAAAGAAAACCGGUGACAAUUCCAAGAUGAUCAUCAACUCUUACCAUUUACAUACAUUUUGGGCCUAAUCAUCCUUUCGUUUCUUAACCCAUGAACCUAGCCUAUGUUACGUCCCUUAUAAAGUCUCUUCAAAUUAUGGCACUUAAAUUAACAUGGGGGUUCACAUGUUUUAAGCAUCGCUCGAAGAAGUGCGAGCAAUAUUAUUUCUUUAUCAUUUUGCAGGGUUCUUGACUUGUAAACCCAAGAUGAUUAUGGAAUUGUUCUUUCAAUAGCCUUGACUCAGAGUCCCCUUUGUUAGCCGUUGACCAAGCCCACAUUACGGCCCCUAUUAAAGACCUCUUGAAUUGGUAAGGUUGUACUGUUUGCGAGAAUACUCGAACCCUUGUCGAUAUGAUGAUGUUGAGAUUGUGUGAUUCUCACAAAAUAGCCAUUCUAAAUGAGAGUGAGUGAAAAUCUUUUCUAACUAAAAGUUUCUCAUUUAGCAUUUUUAAGAAAUUCAUGUCAUUGUCUUGAACGACAAUUAUCUUAUGUGGAAAUUUGGGUGAUGCAAAUAUGGUAAAAUCAUUAUGCAUAAACCUUAAUUGAAUGGAUGGAAGCCCCACUGAACUUUGAAAUGUGCAUUCUAGAGUAGCUCAGAUUGUCUAUCUCUUUGAUGAAUACAUAUCAGUUUUUGCUCUAAAUCAUGUUUAACGGGUAAUUCAAGUUUCUUUCAAAAUGCCUCAUGAUAUUAGGAGAUGAGAGACCCCCACUAUGAGGCGAAAGACCUCCACAGGAUAUCUAAAUUCAAAAAGACAUAUCCCCAAGAAUCAAAGAUAUCACCUGCUAAGUAUAUCUCUAACCAUACUCUAACUACUUGUCAUUGUGCAGGUAUUCUCUCGCAAGUGCAUCGACACUUGACUUGGUCAAGCAGUCCAGUUCCUGACCUGACGUGCUUUCGUAGCCCAAAGUCAUUUUUAUUGACUCGGCGUGCUUCCAUAGCCCAAUGUCCCUUUAUUGACCCGGCGUGCUUCCGUAGCCCGGAGUUCCUGACCUAGCGUGCUUUUGUAGCCCAGAGUCAUUUUGAUCGACUCGGCGUGCUUCUGUAGCCCGAUGUCCCUUUAUUGACCCGGUGUGCUUCCAUAGCCCAGAGUCUUGACUUGGCAUGCUUUUGUAGUCCAGAGUCCCUUUUUAUCAAAUCGGCGUGCUUUUGUAGUCCAGAAUCCCUUUUUAUCAAACCGGCGUGCUUCCAUAGCCCGGUUUUCUUUUAUUAAUCCGGCAUGCUUUUAUAGCCCAAAGUCCUUUACACCGACACUUGAUUGAGUUGUUCCCAAAGAUUUUUCUCCAGAUUCAAUCUGAUUAAGGAGACCGAAGAAUGGUUCGGGUCCUAAUCAGAUGAUCUAUGUUGCAAUGCUGGGCGACCGAAGAAUGGUUCGGAUCUUAACCAAGCAAAAUCUCCGUUUAGGCAACCAUAGAAUGGUAUGGGUCCUAAACAAUAUUUAUUGCUCUAACAGGUGACCGUAGAAUGGUAUGGGUCCUAGAAAAAUAAUUUUCCCAUUCAGGCGACCGUAGAAUGGUACGGGUCCUUGACAACACCUAUUUCUUAUUCAGGCGACCGUAAAAUGGUACAAGUCAUGGAAAGUGAAUCCCUGUUUAGGCGACCGUAGAAUGGUACGAGUCCUAAACAACAUUUAUUACUCUAACAGGCGACCGUAGAAUGGUAUAGGUCCUAGAAAGCAAUUUCCCCAUUCCGGCGACCGUAGAAUGGUACGGGUCCUGAAAAAUCAAUUUUCUGUCUAAGCGGCCGUAGAAUAGUACAUUUCCUAGACACAACCAAACAUUGUCAUACUGGGCGACCGUAGAGUGGUACGGGUCCUGGGAAAGCAGUCUCUUCACAAAGUCUUGUUGCUAUUAUGGGCGAUCGUAGAAAGGUACGGGUCCUGGACAUGCAACACCAACUAUCUUGAAUCACUCAAUCCUCCUUGAAGGUAAGAUAUUCCAAAUAGGUUCCUUUGACAUCUCAGUUUGGAUCUGGAUGUCUCAAUUAUUUUCAUUGAACAUUUCACUCUGGAUGUGAGUGUUCUUCGAUCUUCCUUGUUAUACCUUAGUCUGGAUCUAGGUAUUUUGGGUUCAAAAUUUUGACAUCUCAGUCUAGAUUUAGAUGUCUUAAUUAUUUUCAUCUAAACAUUUCACUCUAGAUGUGAAUAUUUUUCGAUCUUUCUCGUUAUACCUUAGUCUGGAUCUAGGUAUUUCGAGCUUCAAAAAUCAUGACAUCUCAGUCUAGGCCCGAAUGUCUUGAUUAUUUUCAUUUAAACAUUUCACUUUGGAGGUGAAUAUUUUUCAACAUUUCUCGUUAUACUUUAGUCUAGAUCUAGGUAUUUCAAGUACAAAAAUCUUGACAUCUCAGUCUAGAUCUGGAUGUCGUAAUUCUUUUCGUUGAACAUUUCACUUUGGAUGUGAAUGUUCUUCUCAAUCUCGAUAUCUUAAUCUAUUACCUGUUACAUUCUUCAAGGAACCUGAGUGAGAGUUGGGUACUUGUAUAGUAAAAUGGGGAUUUAUCAUGUACCUCAAGAUGCUCUACCGCACUGAUUGGUAAGUAACUAUAGGUACGUUCUUUCCUUUUGCAUCAUGCAUUUGCAUUAGCAUUUCCAUGCAUCAUAUAAAUUGCAUUCAAAAAUGGAAUUCAUUUUCCAAGAAAAAAUCAUUCAUCGCAUGCGCAUGAUCAAAAUUUAGGUCUCAAUUUAUCUUUGAAAGCAACCUCUACGAGCUCACCUUCAAAGAGGGGUGGCUGUUGACACCUAAAUUUUGGCGAUCUGAUUAUUUAUUUAUUGCAUAGAAAAUUAGGGGUUAAUUUUAUCCCUGAAAAAAUAUUAAUUGCAUAGCAUAUAGACGUAGGUUCACUUAUUUUUAAUUUACAUGUUUUGCAUUUAUUUAUUGAACCAGUGACGAGUAGAUUUGAAUUAGUGGUUCUGAGCUUUAAAUUGACAGGCCGGACUAUGCCCAUGAAACGAGCAAAUUGGCCAAAGCUUUGUUUUAGUAAUCGGAAAUUAUCUUGUGAGAAAAUAAGAAUUUGAAAUUUUUCGAGAUAUGAUGAAUUUUUCAGAUAGGGCAGAAGUGAAAAGUGAAUAUCACAUUGGGAAAAAAAGAAUCUUCGUGGAUAUCAAUUUGGAAAAAUUAAAACCCUAAUAUGAGGUUUAUAAAUAGAUUAGUCGUAUAGGGUUUUCAGGGGAGCCACACAAUAGAAGGAUACUGCCACAUUAGGGGGUUUUCUCUCGAUUGUUAGAAGAAAGAAAAAAUUGAGCACAGGGAAAGAGAGAGGUCCUUCAGUUUUUAGGGUUUAUGGGUGGAGAAGGUCUUCACUUUUUCCUUUUGCAAAUAUAGUGCUACAGAAAGUAUGAAGGGAGCAGAGAGAGACCGGUGAGUGGGACGUGAGAUAGGCAGGAGGAGAGAGAGGGAAAAUUGAAAAAAAAAAAAAAAGAGAGAAAAGAAGAAGAACGAUGCUCAUCUUCUCCAGCGUGCUUGCUGCCAUCUGCCUAAGCUUUGACCGUUGCUCGCCGGACGCCGUCGUCUUGCCACACAGGAGCCACCCAACUCUUACUCUACCCUGUCUUGCCAGAAACAGUGACCCACCACACCAGCAUCAACGCCCUAGCCUUGCCUCUGCCCUGUUGCUGCCGGAGCAUCGUUCGCUCAUGCCUAGAGCCUGACCCAAGCCGAAUCGUAGCCCCUCCGCUCCGACGACGCCGCUGCUGUUCUUACUUUGUUCGCGUCUACAGCCCUCUGCUUAGCUUUGCUCCGUGCCUCUAUUCGGGCUCAAAGCUAGUCGCUGCACCUCCUCACUCGAGCAACCACUCGAGCCGCUUCCAUCGCGCCAGAUUUGGGCGCCGAGCGGUACGUCCGUCUGACAUCUCGCCCCUGCCACCAUUGCUGCUUAUGUUUAAUUUUUAGUUUAGAUUAAGUUUUUUAGAUAGAUUGCAUCGUAAGUUAGAUACUGCUAACUUACGAUAAUAUCUUAGUUUAAAUUAAGGUUUAGCCUGACCUAAUCCUUAGUAUAAGUUAGAUAGAAUCUUAAUCUAGCUAGUUAAUUUUCGCAUUUUUCUAAUUUCGAAUUUCAUGGAAAAUACCAAAAAUUGCCUUAGAAUAAAUCAAUUUCAUUCAUUAGGAGAGAUUGCAUUUUAUUUACAUCAUAUAGUUAGGUCAUGUUGCCAUUUCAUGUCAUUUCAUGUUAGAUUAGUAGCAUGAUUGCAUAAAGCAUGAUUCUCAUUAAUUAAGUGAAAAAAAAAUUGCGUGUUAAUUAGAAAUCAUAUCUAGGGUUGAUGAUGUGAAUUCUGAUCUAAUAACGCAGAUGCUUUCUUUGCUACGAGGUAACUUCCUACAAUUUAUUCAUUGCUUUCCUUGGAUGUUAAAUUGGUGGUUUGCGCACCCGCAUGAUCACCUCACAUGUUAGGGAAUUAGAUUUAAAAUCAAUUUAAGCUGCCUGCAAAAGCAUUUUUGAAAAUAAAAGAAUGGUACCGAAAGGGCAUUAGAGAAAUCUAGCAUAACCAAGUCCCCGAACUCAUAAAUCUCUGGUUCGUAGGAGUAAAGUAAAUCUCCCAUUACUUUACUUGGGUUUCUAAUCGACCCACCAAAAAUAGAUUAGUGGCGACUCCUAGAUAAAAUCUAUUUGCAUAUUAAAAAAUUUGAACUUAAGUCGCGAAUUGGUAUGGGCUUGGGAGAGCCCGAAUUAAGUCUAGGCUUAACAAUCCAUCAGCCAAACCCUAGGUAGUUUUCACCCGAAAAUUAGGUUGCGACACCAACAUAGGCGAUACUCCAAGUACCUAUUGUCCAACCGUUACAGACUUUUUAAGAGUUGUGCUCUUGCUUUUCAACAGAACGACCACGUGGAAGACACUACACUGUAGGCCGAUCCUAUGCAUCCUUUUGAAGCACAAUAUUGAAAAUUUGGGCAAGAAAAAAGCUCCGAUCCUCACUUUUAGCUUGGGCCUUGGUCUUUCUUUUGAGCUUAAUCCACAAAUUUCCCUUCAUCAUGCUAACUAGUUAAAGUGAAAAUUCAAAAAACCAGUUCGCGGAAAGUUUUCUCACUUAAACAUAAUAGAUUUUCUUAUUUGUGGUGUGCAGGUGUUCACUAGGGUUGACCCUGGACCAGUCCAACCCUGCCGAUCCUGGUCCGGUUUCCAGGGAGACUAGGUCAAUCCUUGGUCCUAGAAUUCCUGGACCAGCACUGUACAGAUCAAUUCUCAGUCCUGAGAAUUCUAGGUCAGUCCAUCUUGGACUCACCCUGACUACGUGUGUGUGUGUGUGUGUGUGUGUGUGUGUGUGUGUGCGCACGCGUGUGUGUUUGUCAACAAUAUUAAACAGCUCUUUAGUGAGAAAUUCAAGUAAUUUUACAUUAUUCUUUAAUAACUUAGGUUUUUAAUAUCUUUUAUGGUGUCAAUAGUCAUAAUUUAUUAAUAAGAAAAAUAUUUUUGUGAGGAGUCUCACGGCGUCCAAAAAUGCACCUUAUGACAACCUCCUCUAGUAUUUGUUUUCUUCUGUCUUAUUUGUCCUCUUAGUCUUUAAUUUGCUAAAAUCGGAAAAAACAACUUCUCCACUCGUCACUCGACACUCGCCUCGCUCACUUUGAGUCACUUGUGUCGCUUGCCACUUGCUUGGCUUGUUGUUCCCUACUCAACAUUCGAUACUCAUUUUGUUCGACGCUCACCCUACUUAAUCCUCAUCGCUUGUCUUUCUUAGCUGACCUUGCUCAUCAUCAAACCCAUUGGAUUGGUAUAGUCCUUGGUUGCCCUUUCAAGGGGUACAAAAAAUGAAAUAAAAAAUUAUUGGUUAGUCAUGGGUUGACCUUGAAACUGGACUAAACUCAUUGAGUCAGUUUGAUCCUCAAUCACUUUUUUAAGGAGUACAAAAAAUGAAAUAAAAAAUUAUUAGUUGGUCCCAAGUUAAUCCUGGAAUCGAACCAAACCCAUUAAGUCGAUCUAGUCCUUGGUCCCAAGCUUAGUAGGGUCGGUCCUCAAUCCCAAAAAUUAAGGACCAGUACUGUGUGGGUUGGUCCUAAGGUUAAGGGAUGGAUUGGCUAAACUCGGACCAUGCUCACCCCUAGUGUUUACGGCUUAGAAGCUUCAGCCUAAUGAAAGUGGGUUUGCAGAUUUUGCGCAUUAUUUCUGAAAAAAAAAUGGUAGAAUGAAAUAUGAAUCAAGAUAAAUGUCAUGUGGUGCCCUUAUCAAAUAUGGCUCUAGUGCCGAGGGAUGUCAAUUGCAAUUUCGGGGAGGACAAAUUGUCCACCAUCGAAUAGAGAUGUCCAACUAGUAGCCAAUGAACAUUGUCAGAAAGCAAAAAUUUUAGCACUUUGAAAAAGACAACCAAUGGGUAGAUAGUAUGUAUCACGAGGCCACCAGUUUUCUCAAUGAUGUGAUAUAAGGUUAAGGGAUGGAUUGGCUAAACUCGGACCAUGCUCACCCCUAGUGUUUACGGCUUAGAAGCUUCAACCUAAUGAAAGUGGGUUUGCAGAUUUUGCACAUUAUUUCUGAAAAAACAAAUGGUAGAAUGAAACAUGAAUCAAGAUAAAUGUCAUGUGGUGCCCUUAUCGAAUAUGGCUCUAGUGCCGGGGGAUGUCAAUUGCAAUUUCAGGGAGGACAAAUUGUCCACCAUCGAAUAGAGACGUCCAACUAGUAGCCAAUGAACAUUGUCGGAAAGCAGAAAUUUUAGCACUUUGAAAAAGACAACCAAUGGGUAGAUAGUAUGUAUCACGAGGCCACCAGUUUUCUCAAUGAUGUGAUAUCUCUAUGACUAAUCAAACAAUCCAAAUUGGAUUAGUCGAAUACGAAUAAAGUAACAAAAGGAGAUUCAUUUCAUGGGUCAGUGAUGUGAAAUUAAUGGAAUCACAAAUUUUGAUGUAAACCACAUGAAAUGAUUUACUAAAUUUGUAAAUUAGAUAAGACGUGAAACAAAAUGAUUAUGAUAGCUCAAAUAUGGAAGACUGGUUGCACACUUUGUGAUGGCACAAAGAAAUCAAAAUUAAUUUGUGCACUUUAUUCACCCGCUAGCACACAUGCAUAUAUCAAACCUAGUUACUAAUCUACUCCCAUGGGUUAAGUAAGAGCACCUCAUCUCUAAUUCCACAACAUUUCCGAAGUUGGCUACGACAACGCUGCUCCAAUUUUCAUUGGAUAAUGACAAUGAAAAUUCUUACACUCAUGUCAAUCCGUCACAUUUAGUUUUAAAAUUCUUUUUUUCGAUUAUUUAAAUGUUAAAAUCUAUUGUCAUCCUUCAAGUUAGUCAUUUCAUUAACUUCCCAACUUUUAGUUGAUGAAAAAGUCUAGGCUGGCAUUUUCUAUUAUUUAUUUCCUCCACAAGGGCGACAUUUUGUGUUCAUCCUUUUAUGUUUAUAAAAUUAUCUAUUAAAGAAAAAUGAACUUGGUUUUUUUUUUAUUUUUAGCUUGUAAGAUUAAAAGGAAAGGGGGCGACAAUGUGUUGUGCCCUCUAUAACCGACCUCCCUUGUUGGGGUCGAGGUAAGGGUGGUUGGCCCUCACUUAGCCAUAAGUGCAGGCUUACGAUUCUCGCCAACACUAGGCAAGGGCUCCUGCAAUCAUGAAGCAAGGGCCCUUGCCUCACAGGCAAUAGUGGCAACCCUUGCUGGCAACAAAGAUGCAGUGGCAUCGCCCUCCUUCCUGCCCCUUCACCACCAAUCUCUUUCCAUUUUUUUCCCUUUUCAUAACUUUAGUGCUUUUUUUUUCUUUUACCUUUUUUCUAAUGCGUCACAUUAGCCCCGCUUGCACAAAAAAAGAAAAAUUAAUAAAAAAAUCCACAUGGAUUUUCCGUCCAAGAAAAAACAACAGUGUUAACGAAAAGCCUAAUUUGAAGGACAAUGACGAGUUUUAAGCCUUAAACGACUCUGAAAAAAAAUUGAGAACUUAAGUGAUGUAUUGACACAAGUUCUAAAACUUCUGCCGUCACCAUCCCACUAAUUUUAUAGGAUUCAUGGGAAAGAUAUAUAGAGAAACAUAUGAGGUGAGAAAAUUUUAUGCAAAAGACUUAGUUUAUGGAAAAGUGAUGGACAGAACUAGCCAAUUAUAAUAUAAAAGUUACAUUGAAACUUGUGGUUUUUUAAAGAGAACCUGUAAAUCUAGACUAUGUUUACAAAUGGGACCGACGUGAUCUAACAAAAUUAGUACUUUGUUCCACCAGGUAGAUCGCUUAUUAAAGCUGAAUGGUGGGUAAUGCAUUUAAUGGCCUCUAAAAUAAAGAUUGGUUGGCAAACUUAAAGCAGGUCAAUGCCGAUGGGCGUCCACGUCUUUGAGGGGACUCUUGGGUCGGAUCCAUGGUAUCCUCCGCUUGAGGUAACGACUAACGAUAGUCCAACAGUGGCUUGCCUGUCGCUGUCGCCUUACAAUUGCUUGACUCGAAUCUCCCUCGUCACCACAAAGGGCUUUAUCCUCCGCUCAUCCACAUAAAAUUUACGUUAGAAGUGCGGGACAGUUUUAUAGAGAAAUUAUUAAUUUUAAACAUUUUCGCAAAAUUCCAUUUCAUUCCUUCUCAUUAAAUUCUGCUAGAAAUCACAAGCAUGAAACUGCUCUUCGUGAUUCAUCACUGCGUCAGAUAUUUUCGGCGAAAAUUUAUAGAAAUGACUAUCAUGGAACUUCUACAAAAAAAUUUAGGAUUAAAUUUACAAAAUCGAAAAGUUUAGAAUUAAAUCGAUACUUCUACAAUACGUCUAGUAUUAAUUGGACAAUUCCGCCCAUGUUUUCAUUCUAGUACAGAUUUCUACUGAAAUUAUUCAUCCUUUCAAGAGGUGAAAUUACAAGAAAGGUACGUUCUUUUUUGUCUCGUAUCGAAGGACUUUCCCUAGAGACAAGUGCAUGUCCCCUCGAAAUCGCCGUCCAAACAGCUGGACUUUCCCUUCCUCCCACGCCAUCUCUCCACCGGCAAUCAGAAAGAAGAAUUUCUUAAGAUGUGGUUUCGCUACCCCCCAAACGGAAAAAUACGAGGUUGGCAAAUUUUUUGGAUCCAUAAACUCAUCUUAGAAUUUCGUGAUGCUUGUAAACCGGCAAUCGUAAGUUUGUUUCCUUCGAUCAUGAAUAGAGAAAGAUAUUAUGAUUUUAUAUCUACCUUUAGUGUAAAUGGGAUAUUCCCAAAAUUAUACUUUGUACCUAUUGAUAAUUCCAUAUUAAAGAUGUGCAACCAGACCAAUUUUAUACAAAAAUUGAAUCGGACCGCCAUCAAAAUGAGCUCAAUACCAAUCUAGUUCCCAAUUCCAAACUUUUGAAAUUAGUGAAAUCAGUUUGAUUCCCAAUUUUGAGUGAAGAACCGAUUGGGAAUCAAAUUGAACCAAAUUUGGAACUGGUUUCAUAGAGCCUAAAAUUGAAUUUUUCUCUUAUUAUAUUUUUUUAUAUUUCUCUCUUUUUUCUAUUUCCUCCAACCUCACCCAAACACUUCACGACUCUCUCUCUCUCUCUCUCUCUCUCUCUCUCUCUCGCCUACAACUCACACUCCUCCUCGCAACCCUCACUUGUUCCUAACUAGCAUUUGCUCACUCGCCCUCAUUCAUAUUAUAUUUUGAAUCAUUUUGUUAUUCAUAUUAUUUUGCUAUAAAAAAUGAAACUCAAUGAACCAAAAAAAAAAAAAAGGUUCUUGGUAGACCUUGGAAUCAGACUAAAAAAUAGGACGCGUUCCAGGGUCAUUUCUAGGACAAAUAGGGUAGGUUACAAGUUUCAAAAACUGAUAAUUAGUUCUACCAGAGCAUGUUCUAAAUUCCAAGUUCUAGGUUUAGAAUACAAUCACCCCUAAAAUUCGUUAUUGAUUGUACAUCAGAAUAUAAUAUAGUGUUAUAUAAUAAUUAUGGGCAAGAAAUGAGAGUUCGUUAAUAAAGUAAGUGCUAAAAUUACAACAUCAGAUGCCUUUUGGUUUCGGGGGAUGUCAAUUGCAAUUUCGGGGAGGACAAAUUGUCCGCCAUCGAAUAGAGACGUCCGACUAGUAGCCAAUGACCAUUGUCGAAAAGCAAAAAUUUUAGCACUUUGAAAAAGACAACCACUGAAUAGAUAGUAUGUAUCACAAGACCACCAAUUUUCUCAAUGAUGUGAUAUCUCUAUAACUAAUCAAACAAUCCAAAUUGGAUUAGUCAAAUACGAAUAAUGUAACAAAAGGAGAUUCAUUUCAUGGGUCAGUGAUGUGAAAUUAAUGGAAUCACAAACUUUGAUGUAAACCACAUGAAAUGAUUUACUAAAUUUGUAAAUUAGAUAAGACGUGAAACAAAAUGAUUAUAAUUAGCUCAAAUAUGGAAGAUUGGUUGCACAGUUUGUUAUGGCACAAUGAAAUCAAAAUUAAUUUGUGCACUUUAUUCACCCGCUAGCACAAACGCAUAAAUCAAACCUAGUUACUAAUCUACUCCCAUGGGUUAAGUGAGAGCACCUCAUCUCCAAUUCCACAACAUUUCCGAAGUUGGCUAUGACAACGCUGCUCCAAUUUUCAUUGGAUAAUGACAAUGAAAAUUCUUACACUCGUGUCAAUCCGUCACAUUUACUUUUCAAAUUCUCUUUCUCGAUUUUUUAAAUAUUAAAAUCCAUCGUCAUCCUUCAAGUUAGUCAUUUCAUUAACUUCCCAACUUUUAGUUGAUGGAAAAGUCUAGGCUGGCAUUUUUUAUUAUUUAUUUCCUCUACAAGGGCGACAUUUUGUGUUCAUCCAUUUAUGUUUUAUAAAAUAUUUAUUAAAGAAAAUUGAACUUAUUUUUUUUUUUUUUGAGCUUGUAAGAUUUAAAGGAAAGGGGGACGGCAAUGUGUUGUGCCAUCUAUAGCCAACCUCCCUUGUCGGGAUCGAGGUAAGGGUGGUUGGCCCUCACAUGGCCAUAAGCGCAGGGUACGAUUCUCGCCACCACUAGGCAAGGGCUGCUGCGACCAUGAAUCAAGGGCCCUUGCUUGUGAAUCAAGAUAAACAUCAAGUGGUGCCUUUAUCAAAUAUGGUUCAUAUUAUUGUAACUCAAUGAACCAAAAAAAUGAAACUCAAUGAAACCAAAAAAAUGAAACUCAAUGAAACCAAAAAAAAAAAGGGUUCUUGGUAGACCUUGGAAUCAGACUAAAAUAUAUGACACAUUCUAAGGUUAGUUCUAGGACAAAUAGGGUAGGUUACAAGUUUCAAAAACUGAUAAUUAGUUUUACCAUAGCACGUUCUAAAUUUCAUGUCGUAGGUUUAGAAUAGGAUCACCCCUAAAAUUCGUUAUUGAUUGUACAUCAGAAUAUAAUAUAGUGCAAUACAAUAAUUAUGGGCAAGAAAUGAGAGUUCGUUAAUAAAGUAAGUGCUAAAAUUACAACAUCAGAUGCCUAAAAGAUUUAUUUACGAUUGAGAUUAGAUAGAUGCUCUUGAGGGUGUCCUUCAGAGAAAUGCAUAAGGACGGUGAUUUGAACCUAGGAGCAUGUACGGAUCGCUUGGUGAUUUGUUUUAUAUGCCAGUUCACUUUAUAAGUAAAGCCAAUGACUUCUGGAAAAAAAUAUCUCAGUACAGGCCAAGCCUCAACCUGUUCCUUGAACACCAUGAGAAACUCGUCAUUUCUCCUUGCGCUUGUUCUCUCAAUCCUUCACAUGUCUUCUCAACCUUCCUCUGCGACUCGCACUACUUUGAGGAGAGGCGACUCUCUCUCCGUUGAUAACCCGGAUGACAUCCUCAUCUCAAAGUCUGGUGUCUUCUCCGCCGGUUUUUACCCCGUCGGCAAGAACGCUUACUGCUUUGCCAUCUGGUUCAGCCAUCCACCAUGCAGCGGCCAGAAUUGCACCGUAGUUUGGAUGGCAAACCGCAAUGAACCUGUCAACGGGAGGUACUCUAAGCUUUCUAUUAAAAAGAACGGUGAUCUCGUGCUAACCGAUGCCAGACACGCUGUUGUUUGGGCCAUAGAUACAGCCUCACUCUCGCGGUCGAAAACACCGGUUCAUCAGUUACAACUCCUAGACUCUGGUAAUCUUGUUCUUCGUGACAGAGAAGGUAAUGUCCCACUCUGGCAAAGCUUCAACUGCCCGACCGACGUGCUCCUCCCUGGACAGAACCUCACCAGGAACACACCACUUGUUUCCUCUCAGAGCAACGGCAACUUCUCUUCUCUGCUAUACAAGUAUACUUCGACAACGACAACGUCCUUCGUCUCUCUUCAAUGGACCUUUGUACUCAAGCGUAUACUGGCCAGACCCGACCCAUGUGAGUUGGGAAGUUGGAAGAACAACCUACAACGAUAGUAGAGUUGCAGUGCUCGAUUCCUUGGGGAAUUUCACUUCAUCCGACGAUCUGAAGUUCCUGACGUUGGAUUUUGGCAAGAAAACACAACGUAUGUUAAAGGUGGAUCAUGAUGGUAAUGUAAGGGUCUAUAGUAGAGAAAAAGAUGAAAAGUGGGUUGUAACAUGGCAAGGCUUAUCUGAGUCAUGUGCUGUUCAUGGGAUUUGUGGACGGAAUAGCGCUUGCAGGUACAGCCCGAGGGAGGGAAGGAGUUGCUCUUGCCUUCCUGGAUAUGUGUGGAAUAAUGACACUGAUUGGACUCAGGGAUGUGCGCCCAAAUUCGAGAGCUUCUGCAACCAGGGUUCUGAUGCUCAUGUCGAUUUCCUGCGUUUGCCUCACCAUGAUUUCUGGGGAUAUGAUGAGGACUAUACUUCAAACACUACCCUGGAGUCGUGCAAGAAAAUGUGCGCAGAUCUUUGCAAUUGUAAAGGCUUUCAAUACAAAUUCAACGGGGAAGGGAGCUUCGACUGUUUCCCCAAGAUACUACUGUUAAAUG